CCGGAAUUCUUAGCCCCCAUAGCUGGACAUAAAUUGUGUCUGUCUCACCGCCAUCAGUAAUGAACUCGUAGGUGGAUUUUAGUUGUAAGUAAUUAGUCACUAAAUUUUAGUUUUCAUUUUAAUUGAAACAUAACAUUAAACUAUAGUUUCAUUUUUUCUUUUCAAUAGAGUAUAUUCAUUUUAAAAACAUCUAGUAAGGAUGUGCAAUUAAGUUGAUUUAACUAUCAUAUUGUUUAAGAUUAAUUAUUUAGAUUUAACUUCUAUAUUAUCUUAAGAAAAUGAUUCAGUAGUUAAAUUAAUGUACAUGGCGGUCAACCAUGUCUACUUCUAAGCUAUUCUUCAAUUGGAGAAGUUGAAAUUGACUGUAAAGUUAUCGGUAGCAAAUGAGUUUUGUUGGCAAUUAUUUGGUUUCGAUGAUAGAGUCUUUAAAUCGACAAUUGGUACCGUUAAACACGAUUUACAUUACUUGAAGUAUUUAGAAAUCAAAUUUCAUACUUUUUUGAUAUUGUUCUCUUGUUCAUGAAGUAGAUACAAAAAUGAACGGCUGAAAUAAAUAUCCUUCAAAAAAUGAUGAUAGAAAUCUUAUAAUCAAUAUCAAGAGUAUUGAUAUUAUUUUAAUUAGUAAUUAAAGAAGUUUCUAACCAAAAUUAAAUUAAUUUCAAUAUCUUCACACCUUUAAACAAAAAAACACUUUAUAUUGAUUAUUAAAACUAUAAAUUUCGAAACCCUUUGAUCAUUAGCUCAAUAAUGUUGAAAAUAUUUGAAAUUUGAUUUCUAAAUACUUUAAGUAUCAUAGAUCAUAUUCAACGGUACCGAUUACUAAUUUUGAGGCUAUAUCAUCGAAAACAAAUUAGUGAUUUUCUUUACUACUAAUAGCAUUCCUGUUCAACUCAUUGAAUAGUAUCUGAUAGACAUCGUAAUUAAUGGAAACAAAUUUAAACUCGAGGGACUUAAUUAUUCACAGCAAAUUACAAUUUUGUGAUGUAAAUAAAACUUCAUAGUUAAGUUCAAUGAGCAGUAGCAUAUUUUUACCCUUUAUGUAUGGAAAGUGGCUUUGAUCAACAAGAUCAUUGGACUCCUUCUGAUGAGUGAGCUGCUUUUCCUGAGAUUGUGGUGGCAAAAUAUAAUGUGCUUGCAUUGUUGUAUGCAUUACAGGUACAGUGCAUCAGUGCAUGAUACAAUAAUGGUUGUGAUUCUCAUUAGAUGGUAUAGCACUCAAAACUAUGCACACUACACAGCUAAUAAAAGGAGAAAGAAAAAGGAAGAUGAUAAAAAUGGCUUUUUCACUUUUGAUCAACUUUAGCAAAAAAGGUCAGAGAUGCCAUCAUUCUCUCUCUCUCUCUCUCUCUCUCUCUCUCUCUAGUUGUGUAUUUCUUUUGUUGGAGUUUGCUUUAAUCCAACCUGUUACCAAUAGUGAGGUGCACUUUCAAAAGCUCUAGCACCUCUUUAUUAACUCAAUCACUAAAACACACUCAUCUUUGUUAGAGAAAAUUGCUUUACUAGUUAGCUCUAUGUCACGGACUAAACGAAUUUGCUCGCAAAAGCCCGUGCGGCGCUCGCCUUCCUCCGCGAAGUGAGCAAGCCUGCCUCUCCACUUGCUAAGUUAGGACCUCGCUCGCCCUAGACUAAGUACAAGAAAGAGAUAGAAGAAAGCUCUUCUAUUACUUUAAUAGUUUGAGAAUACAAAUGAGGAUUCUGAAAUGAGAGGGGGUGGAGGCCACACUAUUUAUAGGCCACUCGCCGCCCAUAAAGUCAAUGAAAAGGUGCCAAGUGGCACAAUACUACUAGCCAAAAGGGGAGGCCACGCGGUUUCCCAAGAGUCCUAAUAAAUAGCAUAGAAACUCGAAGAGUCAUAUAUUUAUUAUCCUAGAAACUCUAAGGGACUCUUGAACCUCCGGUAUCCGCACCAUCAGUCUCGAGAUCCGUGUAGAAGCUUCCAGAAGGCUCCAAGCCAAAACCUUCGUCAGAUGUCCGCUUUGGAGUUUGGGUGAUUGCAAAGCGAAAUCGCAGAGAAAAUCUUUGUGCCGUGACAUCUAGCACUCUCUAUGAACUAGUUCACUUGUAAAGUUGUAAUUACCUUUGUGGGCAAAAAUGGGAAUUGACAAGGUACAAAUCUUUGUUGACAUUCUCACAACAAAUUAUGUAAUGAAUUAAUGUGGCUUCAACUUAGAUGGUAAGACAUUCUAGUGAAUUAUCUAUUAUUUAAUAACAAAUUUUAAUGCACACUUCAAAUUGAAAACAAAUAUUACAGAUUGCUUAAAAAACCAUAAAAAUUCCAUGAAAAAAUUCUAUAUUUGUUGGCCUCGACGAGUCAAUACAAGUAAGAGUUCGGAUAUUGCUAGCUUAGUACUCCAAUUAGAACUUGUUUAUUCUUAACAUAUGGGGUAUAGUGCUGUUUUAAUAAAUACUUUGUAAGUAUUGGUAUUAACAAGAAAGUACCGGUCACUACUUACAUCAAAUUGUAAAUUCCUCCUCGCAACCUUCGAAGCGUAAAAAUAAGUUUCAAAUUAGAGCUUUGAGUUUUAAAAUUAUAAUACUCUGUUUUUAGCUAGUGGAGCAAAGUGUUACGGUCUUAGCAUUUUUAUUUGCAAAGUUCAUGCGACAUCCACCUUUCUGUUCAAAAAUGGACAAGUCUAACUCUCUAUUGUUAGCAUGGACCUUCACAUUAUAUGACUAAGUAUGCAAAUAGUAGAGAAAAGAGAGAGGCGGGAAUUCUCAAAAAACUAAAUUACUUAGAAAAAUAGCAUUACAAUACAUAAUUCCUCGUCUUUGGCCAUUAUCAUCCUCACAAUUUAUAGACCUAAGAUAUAUUAAACUUAGCCUAUAUAUACUAACUUAUCACUAAACAUACAUUAACUCACCCAUUAUCACAUAAUAAAAAAUUCUAAUGAAUAUCUCAUGAAUACAAGAUGAUCUCAAAGGUUACUCAUGAACCUUGGAUUUUCACAAGUGAUCUUGGAGCCAUUAAGUCUAGCAAUUAUAUAAUCUUUUAUUUUCAACAAUGACAACUAAUUUUGGACCUUUUUGACAACCCGCUCGGCUAGUAAAGUGAAAUCAGAAACUUGGCUGGACUGAAAAGUCGCUAAGGGGCCGUUUAUGCUAGUGUAAGUGGAGGGGUGGAACUCAAGUUCUAUUACUUUCGGUAUUUGUUUUGGUGUAAGUUAAAAAAUAGUGUAACUCAAAUUACGUUAGAUCUCUACUUCACCUAUUCUCGACUUCCCUCUCUAAAGUGCCGAACUUGACUUCUGCCACACUCAAUCUUCUCUAAAAAAUUAAUGAAAAUAGUAAAACCUAAAUUCUACUUUCUUUAUAAUGGAUUAGAAUUGCCUUAUUUAUAAUAAAUUAGAAUUAUCUUUAAAUAGUAAUAAAAAAUUUAAUUAUUUAAUAGGUUAAAUUUUAUAGCAGUAAGCUUAUGACUAUAUUUAAAAAAUAACGAGAUCUACUUACUUACAUAUCAAAAAACUAAUUUUAUCAGUACCAAGUUACAUCAAAACAAACAGAAAAAAAAAAUGAAUUUAACUUUCAGACUUUCGAGUUACGUCAAAACAAAUAACACAAAAAUAAUUAGACUUUAGAAAAAUUUAAAUAUCACUAUAUUUAGUUAUUUUGUAUCUACAGAUUCGUCGAUCCAAACGCCCGGGUCUCUGGCAAAAGGCUCCAUACUGUCAAAUAUUCAUCAAAUUUUUUAGCUUUUCGCUGCAGUAAUAAUGAGAGAACCUUUCCACCGUCUGAUUAACCUGCGGGAACGUGGACGGCGCUGAUUAAAUAAUACUUUUAGGACUUUGGACCACGCGCGUCCGCAUGCGCCAUACCGUUACACGCUCCCCGGUGGUCCCCCGCACGGGAGUCGCCCCGGACGUAAAAGCCGAAGCGGAGCGAAUUCAGGAGAGUAGUGCAGCGUGAUGCCCGGAUAAAGUAUUUAUUAUACUUAAAUCUUCAAAAAUGUAUGGAAAGUCCCUAUCAGUCUUAUGUAUUGCAGUGUGUAUCUAAAAUUUUAGUUAAAUCACUUCAGUCUUUCUUUUUUCUUUUGCUUUUUUUACUUUGUGUUUUUUUAUUCGAAUGCUAUAAUUUUGAAAAUUGUCUUUCCUCUGUAGAGUGCCGUGCUAACACAAAUUAGAAGGACAUAUUUUUUUAAAGAAAAACUUCAAAAACCCUCAUUGCGGUUUUAAUUUUUUUCACUUUAAUAUCCAGUGGUUUAAAAUAUAUCAAGUCAGUACCCUAUAGUUUCUCACUUUAUCACUUUAAUACCCUGUGGUUUAAAGUGUAUCAAGUUAGCACCAUGUGGUUUUAUGCUUUAUCACUUUAGUACUCUGUGGUUUUAAUUUUGUAUUAAGUUAGUACCCUGUGAUUUUUUAAACCAUAGGGAGCUAAAGUGAUAAAGUGUGAAACCACAAGGUACUAAAGUGAUAAAGUGCAAAACGACAGGGCACUAAUUUGAUACACUUUAAACCACAGGGUACUAAAGUGAUAAAGUGAGAAAUCAUAGGGUACUAAGUUGAUACACUUUAAAUCAAAGGGUACUAAAAUAAAAAAAUGUGAAACUACAGGAGGGGUUUUUGAAGUUUUUUUUUUUUUAAUAUAUAUAAUUAUAAGUAUAAAAGUAUAUAUUUUUAAGGUAAGAUGCAAUUACAAUAAUUGUAAGAGUGUUUAGAGAGAAGCUACAGACCCAGAAUUGCAAAUUUGAAACGUUCGAGGACUAUCCGUACAUUUUACGAUCUAUAUAUACGGACUAUCAAAAGGUACACUAGCUCGAGCAUAGAAAAUAGAAACAGAGACAGAGAGAGAGAGAGAGAGAGAGAGGGGAAAAGCAUUGGAUCUACCAACAAAUUCUCGCUCAUUCUCCCUUUCCACGGGGAUAAAGAGGCGAUCCCAAAUCUCUACGGUAAAUCGUGCUGUAAUGUGAGAGAUCUAAGGGUUUCUUCUUCGUUUUGCUUCGGAUCGGUGAGUUAUUACUGCUACAAGCUCCUUCUCCUUCGAUCGAUCGAUCAUGGGAGCUCGCUGCUCCAAAUUCUCGAUCUGUUGGUGGCCUCUUCACUUCAAAUCCUCGGCCCUUCAAUUGCACCACCUCGGUGAGUGAUUCCUACUCAUCUUCUUCUUGUUGUUGAUAUCCAAUGUCGAUGUUGAUGGUGUUGGUGUUGUUGAUGAGGAUUUGGAGGGGUUUGAUGCAGAGAAUGGGGGUGGGAGCGGUGGGGAUGCGAUCCCGGGGUUCGUGGAGUACGGCAUCGACGAGCUUAGGGCGGCGACCGAGGGGUUCGCACCCGAUCGGAUCGUGUCGGAGCACGGGGAGAAGGCGCCCAAUGUCGUCUACAGCGGCGAGCUCCGCGGCCGCGCCGUCGCGAUCAAGCGCUUCGGCAAGGCGGCGUGGCCCGACACGCGCCAGUUCCUCGUAAGGAUCCGAUACUGUGCCCUAGUGCCUUGCAUCUCAUUGUCUAUGUUAGUUUGAGAUUGAGAUUUGGUAUGGGAAUGUUUGUGGUGGAUUGUAGGAGGAAGCAAGGGCUGUGGGGCAGCUGCGGAGCGGGCGGCUCGUAAACCUUUUAGGUUGCUGCUGUGAGGGGAAGGAGCGGCUCCUCGUCGCAGAGUUCAUGCCUCAUGAAACCUUGGCCAAACACCUCUUCCACUGUAUGCAUUCUUUCAAUUUUGUUUUAUUUUCUUGUCAUUUUAGGUGAACAUGUAUUUGGACAGGCUCCUUCAAUUAUAGGCCAUUCUGAAGCAAGUCCCCAGCUUUGAAUCUUCUCAUUGACAUCCCCUAAAUGGUUGCAUUGAUUUGAGUAGCUCCAGUUGGUUAACUUGGGGAUUUUGUUGAAAUUGAAGAGCUCUAUGAGCUGUUCGUUGGUAGUUUUUGACAAAUUCUACAGUUUCAUUUGCUAAAAAGCAGUGCGAGUUGUUAAAUUUAAAAGGAAUCACAAUUAAUCUCAUAAAAUCCCUUGGAUAGAAAAAGGAUCAAUGUGAAUGCAUAUAUUAGUUUUGUUGGUGUAUUUCUUUGGCUUACAUUGGCAAAUUUAUCGUAGAUGCAAUAGAACGACUUUUAGAUAGCACUAUCAUAAUGCUUUUUUGACAUCAUUUUUCAGAUUUUAUUAACAUAGAACUCUAUUGCUUACGUGAUACCUCAAAUGACAUUUUCAGUUCCUCCAUUUUCUACUAUUUUACAGAUGGUAAAUUUUGAAUCGCAUCCUGGAAUUAUUCCCAGUAAAUUGAUUACAAACUGAUUUGGAUUCUCUAUUGCAGGGGAAACACAACCUCUUAAUUGGGCAAUGAGGACAAGGGUCGCACUGUACAUGGCACAGGCAUUGGACUAUUGCAGCAGUAAAGGGAGAGCUCUAUACCAUGAUCUCCAUGCCUACAGAGUCCUGUUUGAUCAAGUGAGUUCUCUGCUCCUGCUGCUGCUUAGGGAAUCUCAUCUCCUUUUAAGUUCUAACUAUUUGCUUGCUGCUUGGAGAAUCUUUAUCUCCUUUUAAGUUCUAACUAUUUGCUUUUCUUGUGGAUGAUGGAUUUCAUGUGGGUAGUAAUGUUGUUAUAUGGGGAUUGAAUUUGACAGGACGGCAAUCCAAGGUUGUCCUGUUUUGGCCUCAUGAAGAACAGCAGGGAUGGGAAGAGCUAUAGUACUAACUUGGCCUUCACACCUCCAGAGUACCUUAGGACAGGUAUAAUUGUGAAACAUAAAUUUGUGGGCUUAUUGAGCCUGAAACACUUGCAUUUUGUUAAGACGCGGAGGACAUGCAGUUGAUGUAUAUAGCUAUAAACAUGUUAUAGUUACAAAUAGUUUCUUAAAAAAACUCCGGAAAUUUAAUUCAAAAUCCAGAUCUUGGGCCUAUUUGAAGUCUCUAGUCCUAAGGGGAGAGUUCAAUAUAGAUCUAUUCAAAUGAGGCCACUCUUUAACAGAUUAAGGUUUUAGAGAAAAGCUAUUUUUUCACUCUUGAAAAUUAAUCUCAACUGAGCCAUUAGAUCCCAUGCGGCACAAAGGACUUCUUACAUGGCCUUUCUGAAUUUUGCCUGUUAGAACUAGGAAUGCUUCAAGUUUUCCUUUCUUUUCUGCUUGGAAAAUGAGAUUGUAGAUUCCUAUUCUACUAGUUUGCUUUUCCUUUUUAGUUACUGCUCAAAACCAAUUGGCUAUACAAUGAGCAUGCAAUUUAAAGUUUUUAUCCUUGUUGAUGGAAGCAAUCAAUUAACUUCCCUUAGAACCAUUUGACAGGGAGAGUGAUUCCAGAGAGUGUAGUGUACAGCUUCGGCACAAUUUUGCUUGAUCUUUUAAGUGGAAAGCAUAUUCCUCCAAGCCAUGUAAGUUUUUUUCCCUCCUAAGCAACCUUCUCUGCAAAUCAACUAUUGUGCUAUUUAUAGUGGAGGUGCUAACUGGGAGAAGUUUCUAUUGUGUUUGUGGAACUUGAGCUACAGUAUAGCAGUGAGAGCAAUAAAACUUUGCUCCAAUUGUUUCUAGAACAUAGGAUAUGUUAAAAUGCUUUCUCUGCGAUUAUCCUUCUAUAGAGAUCCUAUCACAAUGAGGUUUGCAUAGUAAUUCAGCUGUAGGUGUGAUUGUUCUUCUUGAGUACAUCAUGGACUACAUGGAGUUAGUCUUUGGCUCUUUUUUGAGAGAAGAGUUAGUCUUUGGCUCUGGAGUUUCAGUUUCAGUAAUUCUGGCUGUUUUGAUUGUUUAAGGCUCUGAGUUUUAACUUCAGCUUCAGUUUCCGUCUAUCAUCCUUACAAUUCAUUGGUAGCAUAAAGAGAAAAUUGUUGAUUCAUGCAUAUCACACAAAAGUGAAGUAGCUCUCUUUCUGAUCAUUACCAAGAAAAUUUGGAUAAGUAGACUAGUUUUCCAUGGGAUGUUUUAUUUCGAUGUUAGCAUUAUUUGAAAGGCAUUCUUUUCUGGUUUCAGCCAGUGAUUUUAUUUAAACAAAUUUGUUUCCUUUUGCUUUUCCGCCUAUUCAUCAACAGCUUAAGUGAUGUGAAUUCUUCACUGUAGGCGCUUGACCUAAUACGUGGAAAGAACUUUUUAGUGUUGAUGGAUUCUUGUUUGGAGGGGCAUUUCUCCAAUGCUGAUGGAACGGAGAUAGUGAGGUUAGCUUCUCGCUGUUUGCAAUAUGAGGCUCGUGAUAGGCCGAAUGUGAAAUCAUUAGUGACUGCUCUUAUAUCUCUCCAGAAAGAUGCUGAGGUAGUUUCUCUUCUUUUUCUCACACUCAAAGAAAGACUUCUUGUACUUUCAACUGCAUUUUACAAUUUCUUUCUUUCUUCUUGGUCAAGGAAACUACUUUUGAGGUUUCCAUCUCCAUCUACUUUUCAUGCUAUAUGCUACUUAAUCCUCUUCUUUUGUUGACUUUCUUUCAUUGCUUAUGAAGCUUGAUUAGGUUUUAGAUUUUACUUUUUAGCUUCAUAAGUUUUAGAUUUACUUUUUUAAAAGUGAGAUGGAGAUAUUGGUAAAAGCACGAUAAUGACCUUAAUGGAAUUAUGCUCAACUUAUGUGAACUCACUUAUAUUGUACUAAGUUAUCCUGCAAACCUAUUAUCUAUUCUUGUUGUCUAUUUAUAUUUUUUAUUGCCUUUCUGCGCUAUUAGAUAUCAUUCAAUAUUUUCUUCUGUCCUGCAGAUUCCUUCAUAUGUAUUGAUGUGUAUACCACAUGAUUCCUCAGAGCAAACACUUUUGCUCUCUCCUCUUGGCGAAGCUUGUGCCAAAGUGGACCUCAAUGCCAUACAUGAAAUAUUGGAGAAGGUUGGAUAUAAAGAUGAUGACGGGGCUCCUAAUGAUGUAAGAUACUAGACAUAUGUACACACGUACAUACAUACAUGUAUACAUACCAACAUGCAUACUUACACUUCAUUCAGUGAUGAGGACUACGCAUUAAAAGAAAUAAUAAACUGCAACAAGCUAUUGAUGCAUGAUUGGAGAUACUAAUUGUUGGUAAUGCGACUGUCACGAUUGUUGUUGUUCUUUCUUUUGUUUGCUGAUUUCCUUUCAGCUUGUAUUCAUAUUUAUGUGGUAAAUUGCAUUGUUUCCUUUGUAGCUAUUUUAUUUUCCCCCUUUUUAAAUGUGAAUUUAAACUCUGUUUCAGAUUGGUAAGUAAUCAUUUAGUUCCACCCUUUCCCAAAUAGUAUAUGGAUAUCUUUAGUUACAUACUGGUAUUUUUCAACUUGCAGUUGUCUUUCCAGAUGUGGACGAACCAAUUACAUGAAACCUUGAAUUGGAAGAAGCACGGGGACGAUGCCUUUCGUUCUAAGGAUUUUGGAAGAGCAAUUGACUUUUACACUAAGGUAUAUUAAAUCACACCGAAAGGUUCAUUAAUGUAGCAGUUAUUACUUCAGAGGAUUUACAAUACUCAAAUCGCUCAUCCAUGAACUAGCUCAAAGCAAAGCUAGUUACCUUUUGCUUUUGAAUAUUUUGCAGUUCAUCAACAGUGGGACGAUGAUCUCGCUUACUGUAUUGGCGCGGCGAUGCUUCUCUUAUCUAACAAACAACAUGCUACAAGAAGCUCUGGGAGAUGCCAUGCAGGCACAGGUAGUAUCGCCCGAGUGGCCGACCGCAUUUUAUUUACAAGCGGCUACUCUAUUCGCUAUCGGAAUGGAAGGUGAUGCAAGAGAGGCACUGAAACAUGGUGCUUCUUUCGAAGCUAAAAAGCAGUAAUGAGCAUUCAAUUGUAUAGAUUUAGUGUUAUCUAAUUUAUCUAAUUUGGUGAUUUGAUUUGCAUUUUGUACUUACACCUCCUUUGCUUUUGUUGGGUAUUCAUGGGUUUGCAAUCACAGGGGCUUUUAUGAUUUUUUUUUUUUUUUUUUUGACCUUUCUCUUUCGAGGUUUUAAAUGUGUUUUUUGGUGUUAAUUAAGUCUCUUGUUUUCAAGCGAUCUCAUUGCAAGACUAUAAUGAGAAGCUAUGUACCUUAUUAUGUUCACUCCCAAUAAAAGACAAUGAUAUUAGCUAUCCAUGGACAUUGUUUGUUUAGAAGAAACAGUGUGCGUACUUAACUGUACUGGGCAUACUUUUCUCCUUUUUUUUUGGGAUUGAGAAAAUGGUUUAAUUUUUUUUUAAAAUAAACUUAGCUGAAAAUAUGAAUUACCUAGAAUUCAAACUUGAGAUUUCGAAUAUCAGCCAUCAAGUCUUUUGCUGUACUGGCAUAUUUUUCAUUGCUUUUAGAUCCAACAAUCAGCAUUUUCUUUUAUUUAUUUUUUGUACUUCUUGUAGCUGCUUAAACUCGGAAAAAGAAUAUAAGAGGUUGUACUUAUUUUUACAGAUAUUCCUUAACAUUGAUUUUUAUAGAUUUGGCUUAUUUGAAUUGAAUAUUUUGUUAAAUUAACUAUUUCAUUAACUCUCAGUUAUUAGUCAUUAACAUAAUACAUUUUUUAAGCUGAAAAAUAUUUAGAACUACAAAUUUGACAAGAUUAGUACUAAUUUUUAAACAAUUUUUAAUUUAAUUGACUAGGGGUAAACACUCGAGUGUGCACACACAAUUCAGACAAUAAGCACUUUAUGAUUUUAACACACCCUCGACAAACGUCACUUUGUUUGCAUCAAAGAAGUAAAUCCUGAAUUCUACCCAGAGUCCCACAUCAGUCAUUACAGGCCAAGUCCGGUCCACAAAAAAUAUUGAACAACCCGUGAAAAGAUAAAUAAUUAUUUCUCAAUACGAUACAAUCUGGAAUCAUCUCCUUGUUUAGGUUCCAGUUAAGAACUGUAUCCAAAAUGUCAAAAAUGCAUUGCGGCAAUCUGCUUAAAAAGAAGACAGUCGAGCAAGACAGUUACUAAAUGAUUUCACAUCGGUGGUCGAUUGGAGCCGAGAAGCUGCCCGACUAAAUUAGUCACCUAAAAUAAAGGAGGAUUUGACAAAGAAACAGGUUAGAUCAUUUAAACUAGAUAAAUGCAUCUGGUUCUAAAUACUAGAGCUUCAAAACAAGUGUUUCCUCUAAUCUAUGAGGAUGUAAAACUGCAUUGUCCAAGAACAUGAAGUGACACCAAGUUAUGGCCUUCUUGGAAAGCAGCUCUAGAAGAGGAUUUUUCUGCUUUUUUUUUUUUUUUUUAAUGCCAUUGAGCUAGCUAAUUAAACAAAAGACAACGGACAAAGAAUACUAGCUGAAACAAUAGGUAAAUAUAUGGAGAAGCAUGCAUCUGAAAUGCAGUCUCCACCAUCAGUUGCAAAACUCAGGCUAAAUGGCUAAGCUACAAUAGUUUUAAAGAACUAUGCGGUUGAGAGGCCGCCGCAUUUGACUGCGCAAACAUUAUGCUAGCAUUAAUCUAUAACGUUAAGCACAUGAAGAAAAUUUGAAUUAGCAUUUGCUUAAUCAAUAACGCUAAGAAUAAAAAGGUAGCAGUGUAUAACAGUUGAGUUCAUAACAAAGAACCAUGCUUUUAAUGUAUGGAUUAAUGUCCAGAACCACCUAAGAUCUGGCUCCAUUCAAAUACUACCUAGCAUGCCAGCAUAGAUGUAAUAAGCUUCAAUUAAGGAAACAGACUGUAUUCAACACUAAGCUUAAGAAUUUUCACAAGAAACUAUCUGUAACUUACCUGCCAAUAUUUUGAAACACACCGAUCGAUGCAACUAUUUUCACCCAUGUUGAGCUCAGAUUCCUUGUACCUAAAGAACAUUAUAGAAGAUAUUCAGACAAGCUUCAUACUUAUUGUAAAUAAUCAUUCUACAAUUCAUUGGAAAAAACUAAUGCUAGAGAUGCACGAAAAGUAUAUUGUCAUGUAUUUGUAGAAUCUAACAAUCCCAAAGAUAUAACACAACACAGAGCCUUAAACUUAGGGGGAAGGGGAAUUUUAUGUACCUUUUCUCGAUGCAUUUCUCAAAACAAGUUUGUGUAAGCCUGUAUAAAAAAAGAAAAGUGUAAUCAUCACAUAUUUUGGCAAAACUUUGACAAUAUAAUAUCAGAAAGAAAGUUAUUUCUAAAGCACAAAGUAUGAAAAUCUAACGGUCUGCAAGGCCCAACUAGAUGUCUAUAGAACUGUUGCUUGAGUAGAAGUAUUUGAAGAAGCAUUAAUAGCUUUUUCAUGACACAGUUUCUUCUAAAGUUUCCCUAUGUAGGAGAAGCAAAAAACCUCAAAUUGAAGCUUCCACUUUAAUGACCCAGAAGCUCAUUUAAGUUCUGGUAGGAAGAGCUAUAGACAUCUAUUAGCCAAAGUUUGAUAGCCAGAAACUUCUGCUUCUAAGCUCAAAGAGACUUAGGAUAGGUAGUGUGUCAAAUAUAGGUAAACCCUUAAUUAGAUCAACAUGCAAAGGAAGUUCCUGGAUAUAAUACAAUAAAAUAAACAUUUACAAACUACAGAAAUUGAAACUACGCAGCACACAGAAUGUGCACACUAUCCAAGAGCAUUAUCCUUAUAAUAGCAAGAAUAAUAAAAUUCUUAAAUAGUGAUAGGUUAAGCAAAAUAUCUGCCAAUUUUAGUAAAUCAUGCAAUCAAACAUAGUAUUAAUAUUAGAGCUAGCCAAUUAAGGAUGUAGUUUUCCUGCAGAAGCCAUGGAAAGGAUAGGGAAUCCACCUCCCAAAAUUAGAGCUUUGAGUCUCUUCGCGAUGUGAUAUAGUUUAUUCAGAAAGUCAUUUUCCAAUCCUGUAAUAUGUGGUUUGAAAACCUCUCAAAAAAUAAAAAAGAAUUAUCAAGAACUGGCCAUUGAAAACCCAUGAAGAAGGAUUAUAAUCAAAGAGAGGCUAGUUUGAGAAGGAGAGGUGAGACUGAAACAUCAUACGAUGGCUAAUAAUUAGAAGUAAACUAAGAAAAUAAAUAGAAAAAAAGAAAAGUAGUUUAUCAACCCACUAGGAUCUCAUAUUAUUUGAGAUCAUCUUACUUGUUAAAAAGUUCUACCCUGUACUCCAUCUCUUUUUCCGCCAUCCCGAAGAUCUGCUCAAUUAGGGCAAAAGUAAAUAAGAGAACAAACCGCAAAAUAGUAAAUAUAACAACCAACUUUAAAUUUCAUGGCCAACAUAUCAAAAUUCAGUAAACAGCUAAUGAACGAAAAAGAACCGCCAACAUUCUUUGUUGUCCUCAAACUUUAUACUGCAUUAGAGUUUAUACACAAUGAAUAAAAAAAUUGCAACAAAUUUCCCAUUUUAGCUUCCCACAUCGAAAUAUAUUCAGAUAUUAACGGACUAAGCAACAAUUUUCCCAUUUUAGCUUCACUAAUUUGUUAAAUUUAUCUUUUUUACCAAACGAAUUUGUUCAAUGAAUAGGAUCAGGAAUCAUAAGGAGAUGAACAAUUUCAUACCUGCUCUUUCUCCAGAUUCGUUGGACCAUUUUUCGCUGCCAUUGGUAAAAUUUCACCUGGAAAAUUAGAAAAUCGGAUGAACAAUCAAAUUCGCGCACAAAUUUCCCAAAUAACAAAUUAAUAACCAUAGCUGAUUAAUUAGCAAAUUUUCCCGAGAUGUGAAAAAGACCCCAAAAAAAAUGGCAUUGAAAAAAAAAAAAAAGCGGAGAAAAAUACCUAAUGGCGCAGGCGAAGUACACAGAUCACGGAUCGAUGAGGAGAAUGGAACGAAGGGUUUUAUAAUGGACGAGCGGUGCUUCGUUGCUUCCUCGUCUAGGGUUUAUAGGAAGAGGGGGAGCGAGGGGAGUGCGAAUUACGCGUGCGUGCGACGAGAAAAUGGGCCGGCUAAAUGGAUCGGAAUUAAUGGACACGGUCGACUCCGAACUUACUCGGAUUUGGUGCUUAUUGGAUCACACAAUUGGGCCCAUUUUGGGAAACUUCUAACUUAUUCUAAGCCCAAGGCUCGUCGACUGUGGCUAGAUCGGGCCGGGUCAAGUGUGAAAAUUUAAAAGACCUAUAAAAAUGGGCUAUAUGGGUCGGGUUCACUUUUGUGGGCCCGUCGGGCCUCGCCGUAUGAAAGUUUAUUAUUACAAAAAGCUGUUUUAGAAGUCAAGCCGAACAAGGGCUAUACAUUGAUGAGAUAUUUUAUGUAAAAGUAAAACUACCUACACAGCUACACAUCACAAUGAAGGAAAAACAAGGAAGUUUAAGCCCCUGCAAAGGAUUAAGGAAAUAAGAUAUGAUUGAGUAAUGCAACCUUCGAACUCCUCCGAAGUAAAUACAUCAUGUAAAUACACUGAAAAAUACUCGUUCCAACCGUCAUGUUCAUCUCUAGUUUCUAUCACAAUAUUUUCUCCUAAUCCUUCCCUCUCUCAGUAAGAAUAGAGCACUAAUGAAUGGCUCUUCAUCUUCACGGAAAUUAAAAGAGAAAAAGAAAAAAAAAAAGAAGAGACUUUGGUUCUUCCAUCUGAUCAGACUGAUCUUCUUCGCAGUUCUUGUAUGAGAAGCCAUCUUACUAUGAUAAGAGGUACUUGGAAAUUGUUACUGAAAAUUCAACCAGGAACAGUGAAGUGAAAGAGCCAGGAGAUAACGAACGCGAAGACCAUGCACGCGAGUAGGAGGUUGAGAAACCGGUGGCCCUGCCAAAAUCUCCGUGUUUCAGUCGCUGUCGCUGGCGGAGCUGCGGUAUUAGCACUGCUGUUCACUUCAUUCCAUUGCUCGAUGAACUCGGUCUCACCAGAACCGACCACGUUGCAUGCGAUCGAGCCGCAAAUUUCACAGGUCCUAGAGAGAGACUAUAAUGAGUCUUAAUGUUCUCCACCAAGUUAAAAGUUCAUUAAGGUUAUAAUAAAACCAUAAAAGUGCAGAGCAUAUGACAGGUUCGAUAAAACUUCCACCAUUCAACGUGGAAAAAUGGAAAUGUGGAUGCCUUGCUUCACAGGGGAAUAUUCAGCUAGUCAAAGAAAGCAAAGGAAAUAAGAACAAAAACUCUCUCUACUGUAGAAAACUUUCAAGCAAAGAUUCGGUAAGAAAGUAAACAAAUUGCAACUUGAGAACAUAACUCUGUGUUUAAGUAAAUCACAUCGACUUUAAGAUUAUGGGCUACGAACCAACAAGAAGGAUAAUGCUACUUUUAUCGUACCUUUCAAGAACUGUGGAUCAUUAAAACUUAGAAUUUAGUAAUGAGGAGUCUAUCUACUUGUAAAGCCAAUUAUAUAUAUGAGUGAUCCCUAAUGCCCUACUUUAUUCACCUUCUUAUUUGGCACUAACUUAAGAUAUUCAACAAUCCUAGUUAUCUUAGUUUUCUGCAUUACGAAAGAAUAAGCACCUAAUUUAUGCUCAUAAAUAAAGUAUGCUAAAUCAAAUUCUACUGCCCGUGAAGAUAACAACAGACAAACUCAUUCUGCACAGGUUAAACACCAACAACUCCCACUUCAAUUUCCUACCUUUGUCACAUCCAUUUUGCUAUAAGAAAUCGGGGCCAAAAAUUAACAAAUAAUCAACUGAGCAUCACAAUUUCUUAAAAAUAACAAGCAACACACUUCACGUGAAAUAUAGAAGAAUAGAAAAGCUUGUAUCCCUAAUGACCUGCAUUUCUUAGUUGAUACAAAUUUAACAGUCCUAGUUAUCUUCAAUAUUUUGCAUUGCCGUAGGCAAAGUGUGCUACAUCAAAUGCCCUGCACAUUAAGAUAAGUAACAAACAGAUAUAUCAUAUAAGAUUAAAACACCCACAACCCCUGCUUGGUUUCUUACAUUUUCCAUCUUCAUCUUCUGACAAAAAACUGAGCUGAAGAACCCAACAGUUUGUGGAAAACAGAUGAAUUAAACACCACAACCCACAAACUCCUAAUCAUUUUUAACAUAAUAACAACCCAAUUCGUGCAAAAUACAGUGGAAAUUACAAGCAUUUGCAAAGCAAUUUCAGAUGACAAAGUUAAUAGAUGAAUCAUUUGACUUGCUUACUUGUUUCCUCUAAUUUUGAACCAAGUCUCGGCGCACUGCUUGUGCGCCGCAGCUAAAUCAUCCUUACAAGAACAACCCAACACAAUCGGCACGCCAGACUCUGCGGCGCCACCCUCCAAAUUCAGGUGGCAAAUCCUGCAAUUUCUCUCAACCGUGUGUGGGCUUCUCAACCCACUCUCAAGAUCAAUCUCAAUGGAACAAUCAGAGCCGUCGGAUCUCCAGCAAUCCUCGUAGUCCGACCCGGCCGCACAGUUCGAGUGGCAGUCGGAGAACCGGAGGGUUUCGUCGCUUGCCUGAGAAGCCUCUUCGCAUUCGAGAGGCUCCUCUUCAAUGCUUUCAUUGGAUUCCUCCCCCUUUUUCACCAUUUGAGAGCAAUUCAAAGUAGCAUAUAUAUAACUUAAUGUAACCACCUCACAAAACAACUUAUUUUUGAAGCACUGGUUUGAAAUGGCCCCAAAGAGAGGAGAGACUCACCAAAAUAUGGCCUCUUUCAAAAGCUCUAAAUUUUAAUUUGUCAAAUCAAACCUUUGAUGGGUUCGAUAAAACCCUCAAUGAAUUGAAGCAGUGGUUUGCAAUGGCUACAAAGAGAGGAGAGACCCACCAAAAAACGGCUUCUUUGUAAAGCACUAAAUACACUUCACCAGCCCAAAGCAAAACCGUGGCUUUUGUGAGCAAUUGGAAACCUUCAGAUGUUACAGCACAACGUCUCAGAGAAGCCACAUAAUGGAGAAAUAGAGAAAAGCAUUAAUUUUUGGCAACGUACACACAAAUUGAUGGAGAAUCAAAAUGGGUACGUCUUAAAAGCAAGAAAAAUGGCAUAAAACAUCAAAUAAUUCUAAAAGAAACCCCUUUCUCUUUAAAACCAUUGAGAAACAAGAUAAAGGUGGGAUCUUUGAGAAGUUUCUCAACACAUGAAGCAUAAUAAAAAGGGAAAUUGGUAGGAAAUAGGAAGGAAUGGAGGUUUCUAGCUUGAGAUGAGAAAUAGAGAGAAAGAGAGAAAUGGAAAGAGAAAGAGAGUACGAACUACGAAGCAAAGAGCAAUGAAGACGAAGGGGGAAACCCAAAAAGGAGAAAUUGUUGGACUCCUCCUUUUCUUCCUACGGAGAGGGACCUGAGAACAAAGAGGACGCAAACAUAAUAAAUAGUGUGUGUGGUGUUCCGUGCGCUCAAAGUGAUGAACCAAAAGUAAUAGCAUGCAUCAGUGUACCAUGGAUUUUUUAGAGUACAAAAAUAUUAAAAUUAAAAGUUAAUUUAUUAAAACUAAUUUAAAUAGAAUCAAACUAUAACAUAAAACUUUAAUGGAGCUGUUUACUAUCGCUCUGUUGCUCGGUUCCCUCUCUCUUCUAUUCAUUGGAAGGCAUUUUGCAUCCGUAACAACUAAAAUUAAUUCACUUCCUUGUAGGCACAUGGAAUGGGAGGGUGUUGGAGUAAGGUACACUGGAUUUACAUAAAUCAUCAAUGAAAGCAAGCAAAGCUAGUGCAUUAAUGAGAUUCCCACGGAUCCAGUAAAGGAAGAGAGGGAAAAAGAGCAAGAUGAAUAUACAAACUUUGAAAAUUUUAGUUUUUGCUAUGUGUAGAAAUUAGUAGUACAUUUAAUCUUCAAAAACUUAUAUUUUGCUGAAAGUGAAUAAUAUAAAUGCAGCUUAAAAUAUGAAGAAAUAUGAAGAUAUAAGAGAUGAGUUAAUAUUUUAAUAUUUUUAAUUAACUUCGAGCUGGAAUGGACGCAAGCUAAUUAUGUUAUUUUAAAUAGUUUGAAUUUUGACAAAAGGUAAAAUUAUAGUGAACUGAGCAAUAAAAAUAAGCAUUUAUGAUCAAAAAUUACUUUUUCAACUCUUCACUUUUGGUGAAACAAACCCACUCUAAUUCUUCCUUUGUGCAUUUGAUGUGAAUUAGUUUUAUUGUGAUUGUGGUUUUUAUUUGUUUCGCUCAAACAAGAGAAAGAGUUUUGUUGUUCCUCUAACAACUAGAUACCAAAUUUACAAACGUCACAAGCAACUUCUGUCGCUUUUUGAAGUGCUUAAUUUAGAGUCAUCCUCUAUAAGAGCAUCUUUCUAGAGUUUCACCAACUACUACAAAAGGUAACAGAUUCCCUAUAUAUGGUCCUAGUGUUCCAUGAAACGUAAGAAAAUAAAUACUUAGAUAUGUAAUUAGCAUGAGUAUAUAUGUGCCGAAAGUUUGGUAAUCUUAUAAAUAAACAUAUAGACAGGUGUUCGAAUUUUUGACCUUAUAGAUUAAUAAGUAUUUGUCACUAGGCUACCAAGUGAUUGAUGUUUAGUUGAAAUGUUAUAAUUGUUGGUGGAAAUUACGGCCCAGAAACAAAACAUUCUAUCACGUAUAAUUUAUAUUUUAUUAUUUCUGAUUUUUUUUAAAAUAUAUUAUUUUACAUAUGGUAAAAACCAUAGCCAAAAGUAAAAAAGAAUAUAUAUAUAUAAAAUUGAGCUGGAAUAUUAUUAAUAGUAUUUGAACUUUUUUGCUAUCGAGUUUUAAAUUUUUAAAUGAAAAAUUGUAGGAAUAGGAUGAUAGUAAUUUUCUAGGAUUUAGCGAUGGUCCCCCGAAAGCAUUAUUUGAAAAGGCGCGCCUCAGCGCCUAGGCGCAAGGUGCGAGUCUUAGUGCCGUAGGGAGUGAGGCGCACGCCUCAGACCCGCCUCAUGAUAUUUACGUUUAAUGUGUCUAAAGUGUGGAUUUUUGGAUUUUGAAAUUCUUUAAUAUAUUAUAAGAUGUAAAAAAAAAAAUUAAAAAAAUUUUCUAAUUGAAAGCUUCUUUUUCUUUUCUCUUGAUCGUUCUCUCUUCUACCCCCAAUGGUAAUAGCAGCGACAAUAAGAAAGAAAUAGCAGCAAAUACUUUUAAGCUGAAAGUUAAAAUAUAAUUUUUUUUAUUUUUAAGUUGAGAACAUUUAUGCAUGCGAUUUUUUUUAUAAUUAUUUUAUUUUUGUAUAAUUAUUUUAAAAUUUUUUAAUAUAAAAUAUUUAUUUAAAAUAGUAUUGUUAAGUGUAUUUUAUUUUUAUUAGAUAUGCGCCACACCUUCUUAAGGCGUGCAUCUCGUGCCUAAGUUUUAUAAGAUCUUUGUGUUUUUUUAUGCCUAAAUAGUUAGUUAAAUAGUAUGGUCUAAAGAAUAAAAUUAAUUAAAAUAUGAAUUUAACGGUUAAAUAAUCAAUAGCCAAUAUGGCAAAAAGUCCAAAUACUCGAGAUCAACUCUCUCUCUCUCUCUAUAUAUAUAUAUAGAGCUAGGCUGGUAUACUAUUGGUAGCACGGAGGCCUCCGUGCUACCAAGUUGUUUUCAAUGAUGCGGCUUUCAAAACGACGAUCGGCUCCAUUAGACUUGAUCUACACUAUUAAAAAUAUUUGAAAACUAAAUUUCAUAAUUUUUUGACAUCAUUUGGCUAGUGAUCAAAAGGUUCCAAAAUUAACAAUUUUAAUGGUAGAUAUGAUGCGUUUUUAAGUUCAACGGUGUAGAAGUAUCCAAAUUAGAUGAAAAUUUAAUAGAAAAUUCUAUUUAACAUCAAUAGCAAGUCCAAUACUUCCGAUUUGAAAUUUGAAUUCUUUAUCAUUAUUUUUUAUGAGAUUUUCAUUUUCAACCGUUCAUUUUUAGACUACUCAUUUGAUAGGUAAAUGAUGUCGAAAAAUUAUAAAAUUUAGUUUCCAAAUACUUUUAAUAGUGUAGAUCAAAUCUAACGGAGCCGAUCGUCAAUUUAGAAGCCGCAUCAUUGAAAACAACUUGGUAGCACGGAGGCCUCCGUGCUACCGAUAGUAUAUCAGCCUAACUCUCUCUCUCUCUAUAUAUAUAUAUAUAUAUAUAGAGUUGGACUGGGCUACUAUUAGUAGCAAAAUCUCAUUGUUGCUACCAGUUUUUUAGCCUUGGGAUUAAUUUUUUUCAUUAUUUCUAGCUAUUGGAUUAAAUACUAUAACCCAGUGGGGACCACUCAACUCUAGAGAGACCACUCAAUUCUAACUGACUAAUAUCAUCCUGACCCUACAAUUUUUCAUCCAAGGAUUAAAAACUUGAUAGCAAAAAGAGCGUUUUACUAUUAAUAGUAUUCCAGCCUAGUUAUAUAUAUAUAUAUAUACACACAUGUACACCGGAGGAUAAUGGGACUAUCUCCCACCGUUGCUUCCUUAUAUCGCCACAAAUCGGACGGCUUGGAUCACAUUUUCCUUUUUUUCUUGGGUUCCGCAGAAACAAACCGUUAAUCGCGGAACAAACCAAUCCGUCCAUGUAUUUUUUAGGGGAGGCGAUAUGAUGCACUCGACCCUUCUUCUCCAGUGGAGGAGCCCUCCGCUCCCCUCUCUUCACCCCCUCUCCCUCCCCACGCGCUCCCCCUCCUCCUCUUUAUCCCCUCCACCGCCAUUAUCGCCUCCUCUCACCACCUUCUCCCUCGGCGGCGGCGGCUGCGGCGGUGGAGGCGAGCUCACGGCGAGAGAGCGGCGGCAGCUGCGGCAUGAGAGGCGCGAGAGCCGAGCGGGGAGCGCGAAUUGGAGGGAGGAGGUGGAGGAGCGGCUCCUCCACAAGCCGAAGAAGAAGCCGAGGGCGUCGUGGACGGAGGAGCUCAACCUCGACCUCCUCGCGCGGCUCGGGCCCCGGUGGUGGGUCGUGCGCGUGUCGCGCGCCACGGGGCACGAGACCGCGGAGCGCCUCGCCCGUGCCCUAGCGCGGGGUUUCCCCGAUCUCGAGUUCAAGGUCCGGUUCUCACUUUCACCAUUUCCCGAUUUUUUACUUCGAUUCAGAAGAAUUAGGGCCGAAUAGUUUGUUACGAGCAAUGUGGUGUGAAUUUUAUACAUAUUUAGCUGCUAAUAUUACCUUAGAAAGGGGGAAAAAAAGGUAAAAAUGUAUGUAGAUCGCAUCAACUGUAACCUACAGGGCCAAUUCGAAUUGUGUAUAUAGCAUGAUAUUAUAUUCUGCAUGGUAUUACAAGUUGAUCAACUCAGAAAUUGAUGCUUACUCUUCUUUAGGAAUUACAAGUUGUUUGUGAAUUGUCAAUAUGUGUCUAAAUUGUAAAUGGAGAGCUUGGUUUGUUCUGGAUAUAUGUAGGCGUUUUAGAUUCAUAAAAACAAUGAAUCAUAAAUGAUGUUUCAUCUAGUUUCUUGGUUUUGCUCCUUUUACCUGCAAUAUUAAUAGACUUGAUGCGACAAAACUUUAUUGAGGAGCUUCCCGGUGAAGAUGACAGGUAUGAACUGUUAGAUUGUAUUGUAUGCGAAUCUCAAAGCAAAUUAAAUGUAGUCUGAUGGUUUACGCCUGCUUUCCUCAUUGAGGAGCCCCCCCACGAAGUAUAUCAUAAAUAUACUUUCCACUAUGUGGCACACGUAUGUGCUCCACAGGAAAAUUUCACCUUCGGUUUAAUUUAAAUUUUGCUUUUUUCAGGUUUAUUAUCCAUCUGUCCGUGAGAAAAGGAAACUGAAAAAUGGUUCUAUCAGUAUUAAAUCAAAGCCUCUUUUUCCUGGAUGUGUUUUCCUACACUGUACUUUGAACAAGGAGAUUCAUGACUUCAUUAGAGAAUGUGAUGGUAUUGGAGGCUUUAUUGGAUCUAGAGUUGGAAAUACGUAAGUGCAAUGUGUCCUUAAACGAUGCCCUAGUGAAUGGUAUUAUAUUUUCCCUUUUUCUAUUUCUACAUACUUGACUAAUUUUUAUAUAUCCCUCAAAUUUAAGUUAGGGAGUCAUCCAAUUUGUCGGGGAAAGUUAAUUUUGUUUUACAAAAUAUUUUCCUAGAUAGGGCUUCUUCAAUAUGUGCGAAAGGCAUUUAUAGAAAUGUGAAAAUUCAGAUUUUUCUAAGGUUUGCAUCUUUAUUUGUAAUAAACUAACAACCUGACCCGUUAACACCAAUAACUCAUUGAGCCCAAACCCAAACCUCCGGCCGAAAAUGAUUAAGCCUAGUUGUUAAUAUUUGAGUCUUCGAUCCUUAUAUAUCCGAUAAUAAUUUCUUUCCUAUCCUAUGUUGGACUGCUAUGGCAUCACAUUAUUCCAUUGAAUUGUAUAUGAUUUUAGCACUUCCAGCUACUCUAUGCUUUUUAACUCUUUUUUAUUGAUGCAGAAAGCGGCAGAUCAACAAGCCUAAACCUGUAGAAGUUGAUGAGAUGGAAGCGGUCUUCAAACAAGCAAAAGAGGAACAACAAAAAGCCGAUCAAGCUUUCAAAGAGGAGGAGCAGGAAGAGCAUGUUAAUAUUAGAGAAAGCAUAAAGCUUAAGGAUAAGAUGAUAAGUCGGUUAAAGAAAGAGACUUCUAACAGUGGGAAGGGUCACAAAUCUCUUAUACCUGGUGUUCCUGUUCGUGUUCUCUCUGGCCCUUUUACGGAAUUCACAGGCCGCCUUAAGGAGCUGGAUCUGAAGAAUGGAAAGGUAAUUCUUGGAGGGUAAGCAAACAUUUACAACUCGUACCUGAUUACAAGGCUCUGAGAUGAUUCCUACGAGAAAAUUAUUGCUUGCACCCACUGCACCACAUCAGAUGAAAUAUGAGAUGUACAGGACACAUCUAAUGUUGUGUACCACGUUCAGGCAGUAGUUUCUCGUUCCCAACGCUCUUAAUAUUAUUAUGCCAGUUGAAAGCCAUACGUAGGAGUUAACGUGCUAUUCCAAAAUUAAAAACGACGGAAUUUGGUACUUGAAAUUUCAGUAUGUAAUUAAUUACACCUAUUCAAAUCUUACAUCGAUUUUGAUGUGGGAAGAAUCGUCUCUUGCAGGCUACUGUUGGAUUCAUGUUGUUUGGCAAGGAGAGCUUUGUUGAUCUGGAAAUUGAUCAAGUCGAUGCAGCCAACACAUAAUGGUAACAGACACUCUCGUUGAACAUUCUUAGAUGGUUUAUAUGUUUCUUUUUACAGCAAUAAUAUUGACUUUACGAGUGACCUCUUGUAGAAUACAUAACAGACCAUUUCCUGUUUCAUUUGAUUGCCUUUAAAUCUAAAGAAACUUCAAGUACUUGAAAUUCUUUAUGGAGAAGCUGCUUACAAUGUACUUGGAAUAGAAUUCACUUCCAUGUGAUAGAGGUUAUGCAUAAGUUGCAGUUGUAUGCAAACAUUAGAAACAAACACACUCAAUUUCAAAUUUAAUUGUGAAAGCUCAUGUGAAAUAAUUGCUGAGAAAUUAAAUGCUUGUUUUAUGUUUCAUUCAUUUGACAUCUUUUUUGGCCUUGAGUAGGCAUAGUGUCCAUGGACUCGGCUAUUGUUUCAGCAAAGGAGCGCAUACCAAUGAUUGAAUAUAUUGCCACGGAGCGGUGUCCAAGAUUUUUAAUGACGAGCCAAUAAAAAAGGCUGGAUCGGUUAUCAUUGUGUUAGUUGUUAUGUCACUCGAAGAAUCAUUAGAAACAUACAAUAUCUACUACCAUGGCCGGAGAAGAUGAGAAUAGGAUGGGAUCUCAUGUUUGAAUUGUAAUAUUCUUUUUUUCGAUUGUCGUGUAAUACUCGGUCAAAACGUUUCAAAAGGAUGGCUACAGGAUGGUUCGAUUUGAUAUUUCGGGGAUUCUUAACCAUAGAUAUGCCCUUUUGCUUUUUUAAGCAAAGUUUGGUUUCUUUACGUUCUCUUCUCAAUCGUAAAAGCAGAGUGCGAUGUAUGAUGGAGUCUGUGCAUAAUCUUUCCAGAUUAUUCUCAAUCGCUUUCGUAUCAUAGUAUUCUUUGAAACACCAUCUCCCUUCACGAUUACUCUUUCGUGCAAGAAAUAUGUUUCGAAAUGUAAGGUGGGAGGGCACGUGUCGGCACGUCAGUGGUCAAGUCCGUCCUUUCCCAACCACCAAUAGAUUUAUAAAAACUUUUCCCACUUUUCCCCCUUACCGCACCGACGAAAUUCCUCCUCUGUGUUUGCGCCUCGACCUCGCCGGCGAAGUAAAAAUCCCUGAGACCGCGCCGCAGAGAAACGCCCCUGCGGAGAAGAUUCUGCGUCAAAAGCAGAAUUAGAAAAAGAAUAACAAAAAAAAAAAAAAGAAGCUCGUGGUCCUUUUCUUAAAAAGUAUCUUCGCCCCGCCUCUCUCCCCCCUUUCCAGGUGGGAUUCGUCUCAUCACCGCACCUCCGACGGUCGAGGAGAGAGAAAGGGGGGUGGGCCUCCGAUUCUCUCUCUCCUCCCACCACUACCCCUUCAAUGGAUGUGAGCUCUCUCUCUCUCUCUCUCUCUCUCUCUCUCUCUCUCUCCUCGUUUUCGCUCUCUACGGGGCCACAUCGAUCAAACCCUAAUUAAUGAAAUCGAUUCCAUCGAUUCCCCCUUUUCCCUCUUCCUCUUGCUCUCUGAUGCCUACUCUCUUUGGGAAGCCUCGUGGCUUUCCUUUUUAUAGGUGGGGAGUGCGCGUUGGGUGGCCACGCUGGAGGAGGAAGAGGAAGAGAACGAGACAUCCUCGUCCUCUUCUUCUUCUUCCUCUUCCUCUUUCUUUUGCUUCUUCUCCUUUCGAGCUCGCGCCGAGGAGGGAUCAGAGAAGGCGCCGCUGUUGUGGGAGAAGGGAGGAGGAGGAGGAGGAGGAGGAGACGAGGUAGUGAAGGAGGACGCCAUGGCGACCGCGAUCGAGGUCGGGGAUGGGAAGAGGAAGGCAGAGUCGGAGGAGACCGAUGGGGUCGGGGUCUCCGACGAUACCGCUCACCAGAUUAGCCAUGGUUUGGUUUAAUUCCCUUUUCCUUAUUAACUCAAAUCGUUGAUUCGUGAUUCUGAAAAGAAAUGGGAAUGGUGGUAGUUGUGAUGAUUUCUGAUUUUAGAGGAUGAUUCGAGCUAUUUUGCGUAAUUGCUGCUUAGUGUCAUUUACAGUGUUUUUUUUAUGCUCCUAUCUGCUUAUAAACGUGAAAAGUUAUUACUAGCAGUAUUUUUUUUUCUGGUUACUUUAAAAGAAAUGAAUAAUAAAAAUUUUUAGUAUAAGUUUAUAUAUAUACUAUUGGUAGCACGGAGGCCGCUGUACUAUUAUGUUAUUUUCAAUGAUGCGGCUUCUAAAUCGACGAUCGAUUCUGUUAGAUUUGAUCUACACUAUUGAAAGUAUCUGAAAAUUAAAUGUCAUAAUUAUCGACAUCAUUUACCUAUCAAACGAUGAGUUUAAAAAUGAACGGUUGAAAAUAAAUGAUGAUAAAAGGUUUGAAUUUAAGAUCUGAGUUAUAUAUAUGUAUAUAUUCUCUGCCACCAAACAAAUAUGAUGUUUGGCCUGAUCCAUAAAUAUGAUGCAGGCAACAUAUCAUAUAUUUUGUUCCGUUCCCUGUAACAGUUACUUUUUUGGCAGCGAAUCUAUACAUAACAUGAUUUGAAGAAGUCUGAAUUUUCAAUACAAAAAAGUUCCUUGACAACUUGCAUUAUUAAAUUAUCUGUUAGAUUUGUGUGACGAUUAUUGCAUUUAAUAUAUUUGUCCAAGGAUUGUGAUUCUCAUCAAUUUUGAUAUUUUCUUAGGAAAUUCACUUUUGAUUUAUGAAUAAAUGCGGUUUAUUGGUAAGUUAUUUGUUAUGUAUUUGUUAUUCAGAUCCUUGGUAUCAAGUUGGAUUUGUCCUGACGACGGGAGUGAAUAGUGCAUAUGUAUUGGGUUAUUCUGGGUCAAUUAUGGUCCCUUUGGGAUGGAUUGGGGGUACUACCGGUUUGUUCUUGGCCGCUGCCAUAUCGAUGUAUGCCAAUGCUCUCCUUGCCCGGCUCCAUGAAGUCGGUGGUAAACGGCAUAUCAGAUACAGAGAUCUUGCCGGCCAUAUUUACGGUACAAAAUCAUUUUAACCCUCUCUACUAUAGAUUGUCGUGUUCGUCAUGCAGCUUAAAGAGCCAUUUUAUACCUUGCAGUAAUCCUUAGUCUCACUUUGGUUCAGUAUAUGCCUUUUUUCCGUCUAUGUUAAUAAAAAUUGGCAUAACUGUGGCAGCUUUACUUAGUGUUUUUUUUUUUCCUCGAUGCAUGCAGGUAGAAAAAUGUAUUCUCUUACUUGGGCUCUGCAAUAUGUUAAUCUCUUCAUGAUUAACACUGGCUAUAUAAUAUUAGCUGGGCAAGCACUAAAGGUAGGAUAGAGACAGCUUUCAAUAUUUAAUUAAACUUGCAGCGUAAUUUUUUCAAACCUUCUUUUUCCACCCUGCUUCACCUUUAUCCUUUGCUUUAGAUAUUUUUUUUGUCCGUAACUUCUGCAAGUUUCGUUCUUAUUAUUGUUCAUGUUAAACUGAUGACAUCAUCAUAAUGACCUUGACCUUCCUGUGAUAUUUGAUUAAAAAAGAAUUUUACUAUAUGUAAACUUGUAAAAUAUAAGCGUGGAAGAACUCUCAUACAUAUAUGAAUCGUAUUCCUGACCUUCACUUCUUUGUACAGGCUAUGUAUGUCCUCUUCAGGGAUGAUCAUGCCUUGAAGCUCCCCUACUGUAUAGCAAUUGCUGGUGUCGUCUGUGCUCUGUUUGCCUUUGGGAUACCACAUUUAUCAGCUCUCAGGAUUUGGCUGGGAUUUUCAACAUUUUUUAGUCUCAUAUACAUUAUAGCUGCAUUUGUGUUGUCUCUUAGAGAUGGUACUAAUGAUUCAACUCUCAAAUUUACUGGCUUAUUUCAUAAUGAUUUACUAUCGUAUAUUUCUUUAAUUUGGAAUAAUAAUCACUUGUAAAAAGUUUGUACAAUCUAUAUAAAGUGAUUUCUAAUGCAAACUAUACUGCUUUCUCCAUUUUCAUGCAGGAACACAGUCUUCAGUUCGGGAUUACAACAUCCCAGGGACACACAUGAGCAGGAUCUUUAGUACCAUCGGCGCCGUUGCUAAUCUUGUUUUUGCUUAUAAUACAGGAAUGUUACCAGAGAUUCAGGUAAGCAAAUAAGAGAGUGUGCCUAUUAAUUGAGUAGGUGAAAUCUUACUCUUCAAAUUUAGCAUGUUUGCUAACCUUCUUUGCAACCUUCAAUGUUUAAAUCCUUGUGAUACUGUUGCAAUGUGCUCUUAUUAAAACUCAGAAUAUGUGUUAAUUUGAUAAAUCUGACUAUCUCUGAUUCUUAUUCCAGGCAACAGUAAAACCGCCUGUAAUCAAAAACAUGGAAAAAGCUCUUUGGUUUCAAUUCACUGUUGGUCUUGUUCCACUGUAUGCUGUUACCUUCAUGGGGUAUUGGGCCUAUGGUUCGUCGACUUCAACCUAUCUCCUCAAUAGUGUCAAUGGACCUACUUGGGCGAAGACAAUAGCCAACAUUUCAGCCUUCUUCCAAACAGUUAUAGCAUUACAUGUACUUCACCCUUCCCAAAUUCCACUAUGAAUCUUUUCUUCUUAGGACUUAAUUUGUUUGGUCAGGCCAGAGCUUCGAUGGAACUGCUGUUCAAGUAGAGCUUCUUGAAGAAGCACCCAAUAGCUCUUUCACUACAACCCUACUCAGCUACUUCUAGUUGUGCAGAAGUAGAAGCUUCAAAACCAGAGCUUCUCCUUUGGGGUCUAAAAGCUCAUAUUAGCAAAUCUUGAGACAAUUUGUUCGUAAACACACAAUCUCUUGAAACUUCCGCUUUCUAGAGUACAGGUGUUGUUAACUCCUGUAAUAAGUGCUUUUGUUCUCUUUUUUUUUUUAGACAGAACAUAUUGUAAUCUAAUGGAAUAUUUUGUUACUUAUUUGUGAAAAACUGAGUCGUCCUUUAAAGUUAACAGAAUUUUCUGAAAUAAAAAAUAAAGGUUGGCUGGGUACGUUAGUCGAAAUGAAUUUAAAGUUCAGGUACCCAUUUCAAAAAUCAUAUUGUCAGGGUUAAGGUCUGUACGUUUUUACCUAGUACUUGGUGCAUAAAUAGAUCUCAUUAGACUCACUAACACAAAAUUCUUCAUUUCUGUCAGAUAUUUGCGAGUCCAAUGUACGAAUACUUGGAUACAAAAUACGGAAGUGGACACGGAAGCGCUUUUGCCUUGCACAAUGUAUUAUUCAGAGUCCUUGUGAGAGGAGGAUACCUGGCCAUAAACACACUAGUGGCUGCGUUGCUUCCAUUUCUGGGGGACUUCAUGAGCUUAACUGGGGCUUUAAGCACUUUCCCUCUCACCUUUGUUCUCGCAAAUCACAUGUACCUCAGAGUGAAAAGAAACAAGCUUUCGGCUUUUCAGAAAGCUUGGCAUUGGCUUAAUGUGGUGGGAUUCAGCUGCUUAUCUGUGGCUGCCGCAGUUGCAGCUCUAAGGCUCAUCAUGGUUGAUUCCAAGACGUAUCAUUUAUUUGCAGAUCUAUAAUAAGGGUUUUCUUUCUCUUUUUACUCCACAUUUAUAUUUCCAGAAUAAAAAGCUGGUAGUUUGAUUCAUCAAUUGUAUUGUAGCUGUUGUUCAGGUGUAGUGUGUUGGUGCUUGUAACGCUCAUAGUUUAAAAUGUACUGGGUAUUCUUUGGCAGUUUUUGGUUAAUUAUAAAAGGAUGUGGUUUGUUUAUUUACUUAAAUAACAUAAUAAUUUCUCUGGAAAUUUAUGAUACUUUGGUCCUCUUUUAUACGUCGAAUUUGGAUAAUGAGUAUUCUUUUUACAAAAAAUUUCCCACUUUAAUUCUGAGAGUACUUCAAAUAUUUCUAGCGUUUUCUUCUAGUCGAAAUUGCGUACAUGCAUUACUACCACUCUACUGUGGACUCGAACAUCCAACAUUCUUUAAGGGCUCCUAUAAAGGAAAAGAAAGUGAUAGAUGGCAAAUAAAAAUCAGAAUCAAAACCCAACAAUAAUUAUGGAAAUAAAAAAUUUUGGAAGACUCUCUAAACUAUCAGAGCCAGGUUUCGAUCCUGGGACCUGUGGGUUAUGGGCCCACCACGCUUCCGCUGCGCCACUCUGAUUUGUUGAACAUAACAUAUACGUCAAUAGAUUUAUUCAAUUAGAAAACCUUUUUCUAAAGUUACAGAAAAAGGGGUCGGGGACCUUCGAUACUCCCUUGCGCGACCAACGGGAAGAGAGGAGGCGUUAUGUACUAAAGCAGUAGUAGCUGCAUCCCCUCGCGCUCUUCUUCUCCGAUCGCGGUAGAUCCUCUCAGGUGUACUCUACAUAUCUAGGGUUUCGCCGUGGAGAAGAUCCGAUGAGGGUCGCCGCGCUCAUCGUCCUCUCCCUCGUGCUCUUCGCGUCGUGGGGCGUCGUCGAUUGUGCGGGGGCCGAACCCAAGGCGGAGGACGACGGGAAGAAGACGAACAAGUUCCGGGCGCGAGAAGCGAGCGAUGAUAUGCGCGGAUACCCCCAUUUGUGAGUUCGAUUCGUUUCUCUCUCGGAGAUUUAUCAUUUGAUUGAGUUUUUCUGUUGUUCCUCCCGCUAGCGAGUAACUCGAGCUCGAAAAACGAGAAUUUUGGGUUAUUUUUCGAUCUAGAAAGGUUUAAUCACUAUUCUUAGAGUUAGGAUAUUGUUAAUUGUUCAUCUCGCUAAGCACUAUAUGUGUAAUCGCUCUAUCACCUCAAACCCUCGGUAAAAAUCACCUUUCGUUGCUUUUCUGUAUCCUCUAAUGGAAGGCGAGAGAAUCCAACGUUGAUAUUAUUUGUUACGUUGAGAAUGAUGUUCGCACAAAAAGGGAGAAAUGUGUGCUAACCUGCUGUGUUAUGCCCUGAACAAAGUUAGUAUUUUGUAAUUUCUUUUGUAUAACGCAACUAUUAGGGCUAAAUAUUUGCUUCUUUGUUUUUUUUGUUUGCUUAUGUUUUUUAAGGAUAGAAGCUAAUGAGUUUCAACUUAGUUUAAGCUGGCGCCAUAAAAUUUAAUCAGCAAAUUUGUUCAAGCAUUUCCUGUUCAGCAUCUUCCUGAAAGUACCAUGCACGGUCGAGUUCAUUUGUCAUUUCUUUAGAACCUAUUUAACUCAAUAUCUGCAGUUUUCUCAUAAAAUUUGGUGUUUCCUCCAAUGUCUAAAUCUUGCCUCUUAUGCCACUCUAGAACUAAACAAGGUUCACUAAGAACAUCAUGCAUCUAAACUUCAUUGUUCACAUUAGAAUGUCAUUUCUUUUGGUGCAGAAAGAAUUCAAGGUCCAAAAUACUUUUCAUUACGAUCUUCCAGUUCUGAACAAUUGUGAAAAAUAUAUCUAUUUUGUUACUGCAUAUAAUUUCCUUCUUAAGGUAAAGGUUCAUCUGGCCAUACAUUGUAUAAAUGGGACUAGAUAUAUGAAUCUUGACAUCUCGUAUGAUAUAUGAAUCUUAUGACAGAAGAUGUGCUAAAGGACAGUAAUAUUUUGCUAUGUUUUCUUGUAGAGAUGAAGACUCUUUAUUGAACAGUAAAUGUCCUAAACAUGUCGAGUUGAGAUGGCAGACGGAGGUUAGCUCCAGCAUUUAUGCGACUCCUUUAAUUGCUGAUAUCAACAGGUGAAAAUCGAGAUUAUUUUAUUUCAUAUGCAAUGUUACAUUCUUCCUUUUGUCUCUUGUACAGUUUUUUUUGUUUUUUUUUUUACUUUUUGUUGUCUCUUGCAAUAUGUUUUCUUUUUGUUCAUUUUGGAUGAAAUUAUCUUAUUUUAAAUUCAUAGUUGAAAAUUGACAUUUUAGUUGUCCAAGCAAUGCUAUGACAUGAACAGCUUUUCUUUAUUCUGCCUUAGUGAUGGGAAGCUUGAGGUAGUGGUGCCAUCGUUUGUUCAUUACUUGGAAGUGCUGGAAGGUUCUGAUGGAGACAAACUACCAGGUGAAGAAUGAAAACCUUUCUUCUACUUUCUCUCUCUUUCUUCUUUUUUUUUUGUGGAGAAAGUUUGUUCUCUUAUGAUUGCUAAUUAUGAAAUGCUUCUAGUAUAUUUUACAAUUUCAUGGUUGUUGGCAAGUUGUAGGAGUUGCUACUGUAUCACCUUUUUCCUAUGAUGCAUUGACACAGACAUUACGGGCACAAGCUGACAAGGAUCUGCCAAGAUGUAAAAAUCAUUUCAAUUAAGGAAGAAAUGAUUACCCAGCUGUAUAUGCCUUUUAAGCUUUAAUAUCCAAGUAUGUAACAUAAGUGUGCUGAAAUGUAUUUGUGAAGUAUAUGACGAGUACCACGGCCAAUACAGCAACCAACAUUAACGCAUUGCAGAUUCUCUCUUGCAUGUAACCUUUUUUUUUUGAAUAAAAAUAUCUUAUCCUGUUCAAGGAAAUUUCAUCAUGUGGUUCAGUGUUUAACUCUUUAUUUAUCAUGUUGUGUAUUUUUUUUCCUCUUUGAAUAUUGGGCUUAUCCUGGUGAUUAAUGUCUAUGCACCAUGUCAGGCUGGCCUGCCUUUCACCAAUCUACUGUGCAUUCUAGUCCACUCUUGUAUGAUAUUGAUAAGGAUGGGACAAGAGAAAUAGCUUUGGCUACUUACAAUGGUGUGAUUAACUUCUUUAGGUAAGUAGCUCUAGACCAUUGGUGUUUUUCAACAUAUGGGUCGUGAUUUGAUUUCCUUAUUUUCUUUAUAGAGUUUCAGGUUAUAUGAUGGCGGAUAAGCUUGAGGUACCACGUAGAAAAGUUCGUAAAAAUUGGUAUGUUGGUUUACAUCCGGACCCCGUAGAUCGCUCUCAUCCAGAUGUUCAUGACGAGUCCCUUGUUCAGGAGUCUUCCAUUACGGACUCUAUAUCUCGUAAGAAAUUAAACUGCCGUUAUAUCUGUCUUUUGUGCUUAUCAUUUACGUUAGGAACUUUCCUGCUUAUUAGGCCAUAUGUGAAUUUACAUACUUUUUCCCCCAAUGUUAUGAGUGUCCUCCUUAUGUAGAAUAAGUGACUACCCAUAAAACAAGGAAGUAGUUUCUGGCUAAAACAACUAUUGUCACAACAGUAAAAACCCGUGCUUGUUGACAUUUGUUUAGAUGUAACUUUAUUGCGAAACAUACGAAAUUCGAAGGCUUAUUUGACUUCUGCUUUUGUAACUGAUCGGCUGAGGUUAUUGAUUCCUUAGUAAAAGCAAUCAAAUAUGUAACAAACAUCUCUGUAACACAAUUUCUCUAAUAUUUGUGAUCACUUCGCAUCAUAGAUGUGACAGAUAUGCUUUUAUUUGUUUUCGUGCAGGGAUGGAUGGAAAUAAAUCUGGGUCUAGUAAUUCAUCGACAAUUGCUAGUGUUGAUUCCAAGAUGAAUGCGACUAACAAAGAGGAUGAGACCAAACAUAAUUCUGCUGAAGAAGAACAAAACAAGGGAUUAUCCGACAGUGUUAAUACAACUACUUCCGGUAAUAAUGUACCCAUAGAAAAUUUAACAGGGGAAAAUACAACGCAUACUCAGCGCAGGCUACUUCAAGAAACUGAUCGAAGUGGGUCUCAAGAAGGAAACUCUGAUUCUAAUGCCGGUGGUGAUGGGGGGAUGAUGCAAGGAGCGACUGUGAAAAAUGACGAGGCUCUUGAAGAGGAUGCUGACUCAUCUUUUGACUUGUUCCGCGAUGCAGAAGAUUUAGAGGAUGAAUAUCAUUAUGAUUAUGAUGAUUAUGUUGAUGAGUCCAUGUGGGGUGAUGAGGAUUGGACAGAACAGGAGCAUGCAAAAAUGGAAGAUUAUGUGGAUGUAGAUGCACACAUACUAUGCACCCCAGUAAGUGUAUAGAAGAAGAAAUUCUAUGCAAUUGCAUACAUUGGCAGAUGGAGUUCUUUGUUGUUUUUGUUUGUUAGCUUGUAAAUGAAAUAGAAGAAAUAGAAACAAAGAAGAGAAAAGCACAAACUACUAAAUUGUUGUUUUUUGUUGCCAAGCAAAGCCCGUUGAUGUAUUAUUGUGCAAACAAGCUGCUAUUUAUGAUCAAAUUCAUCCUCAUUGAAUUUUUUAUGGAAAAACAGAAAAGUAAAUGUAACUGUCACCAAACAAGGCCUUAGAUUUUGGUAGUCAUAGCUGAUACAUCUCUUUUUUCUUUUUUUUCCCCUCCAGGUGAUUGCAGAUAUUGACAAUGAUGGUGUCCAAGAGAUGAUUGUUGGUGUAUCCUACUUUUUUGACCGUGAGUAAGGCUUCUUUCCACUUUAACUCAUUGCUUCAUUGGAAAACAUACUUUUUCUCUUUAAGACUAAGAUGGAACAGUUUACCCGGUUAAUCCCAUUUUAGGAACAUGCAUUGUGAUAUUCUUCUUCCCUCUUGGGAAUAUUGUUUUAAAAGUGUUGCUUUGCACAUGUUUCUUCUCAAUUGCUUUUAACUUGCACAUGUUUCUUCUCAUUGUUUCUUCCCUUUUGUGAUAUUCUUCUUCUUAUCAUUGUUUGAAGUUAUUGCCUUAACCCCAACCCAGCUGCCCAGCCUGUGCCAUGGACAUACAAUCACGCCUCUUCCAAAAUGUUGGCCGAUGGGCCCUUUGCGCACUGUUUUUAGAAUUUUUUUUUUUUCUCUCUAGCCACAAUCGAUUGAGUUGAAACGGGUUUAUUAGUCUAAAAUUCUAUCCUUUGUAGGGAGUACAAUCGGCUUUAAAACUGAUUUAAGAAAUUCGGAAUUUGCUUCGGAUGCAAAGAACAAUAAAUAUUGUAAUGUUUUUGUGCAUGGACCAGCACUGUGCUGUAAAAUGGCAAACUUUAAAGGAGCCAUUUCAUGGAAAUAAUCGUGAUACAAUUAUGAACUAUUAAACUAUUGCUGGUCCAAUAUAUAGUUCACAUUUUUAUGCCAUAGAAUGAACAUGAUAAUUCAUCCAAUAUAUAAUUUGUGUUUCGUUCAAGCUCUUGCUUUAUUAUUGACAUCCCUUUAAUUUUUCACUGUAUUUACUUGCCAACUGUUUAUUUGACAGAUACUAUGAUAACCAAGAACAUCGAAAGGAGUUAGGAGGCAUUGACAUUGAGAAAUAUGUAGCAAGUGGCAUUGUGGUAUUCAAUCUCGAUACAAAACAAGUAAAGUGGACUGCGGAUCUUGAUCUGAGUAUUGAUUCAGGAAACUUCCGUGCCUAUAUUUAUUCUUCCCCAACUGUUGUCGAUUUGGAUGGUGAUGGAAAUAUGGAUAUUCUUGUCGGAACUUCGUUUGGCUUGUUCUAUGUUCUGGAUCAUCGUGGUAAAUUGAUUGGCUUCAUAAGUUUCUCUUUUUUCUUUUUCUGUAACCUUGGUUGGAUUUAAGAUUCUGGAUUUAUCUAGUUAUGAGGGUUUUGUAGCAUAUAUACCAUGAAAAUAUCCGACAUUACAUAAAUAACCCUGCAAUAUUGCAUUCUUGCCCGUGAUAAUUUUAUUUAUUUUCAUUCAUGCACUUAACGAAGGUAUAUAUGCAAAACUGUUCCUCUGUAAAUGCCCUCAUUAGGGGCAUGAACAUUAAUAAACAAGAUUUUCAGGGUUGCACACACAGUCAGCAACUUGCAGGGGUACUAAGCUAGAAUAUGCAUAUGCCCUGGUUUCUUAUAUUCCAAAGGCCUUCUUCUUAGUUUUGUUUGAUCAUAUUUUCAUUAAUUAUUUUUUUCUUUCGUAAAUAUAGAUUUUUGUCUUAUAAAUUAUGAAUUUUUUAAAAUUGACAAUUCUGAUUAUCUACAUCAUGCACAUUCAGAUCUUUUUUGUACUAUUAGUGAUCAUGUUUUACUUACAUUUCUUUAACUAUGUGGUUUCUAUUUUCUCAUUUUAUUCGUCAAAUCCAGGUAGGGUUAGAAACAAAUUUCCACUUGAGAUGGCUGAGAUUCAGGGACCAGUUGUGGCGGCUGAUGUUAAUGAUGAUGGGAAAAUUGAGUUAGUUACAGCUGAUACCCAUGGAAAUGUUGCAGCAUGGACUGCUCAAGGAGAUGAAAUUUGGGAAGUACAUCUUAAGAGUCUAAUUCCCCAAGUAAUCUUUUUGCCCUUAUCGUAUCUUCGCAAAGAUUGUAAAAUUGAGAGAAUAACCCUUUAGAGUUGGUAGUUGCGUGCUUUCCUUUGAAAAGCUUGCUGAUUUUUUGUGUGCACCCCUGCCUGAGAAUAGAUGCAGAAAUACCAACUUUACGGCAAAAAUUGUCAAUUUGUAAUAUUUGCAGGGAUAUACAUGCAAAUUUCCUUCUUUUUGUCGCUUUCAUCUGCUUUUAUUUAUAGAUGAUAAUCCUUUAAUAAAUUUACCAAAUGAUUCUCAGGGUCCAACUGUGGGUGAUGUCAAUGGAGAUGGCCAUACUGAAAUUGUAGUCCCUACUAUAUCAGGAAACAUAUAUGUUCUUAGUGGAAAAGAUGGUUCGCUCGUCCAGCCCUUUCCCUAUCGAACCUAUGGAAGGAUUAUGAGCCCAGUUCUUCUACUCGAUCUAAGCAAACGAGAGGAAAAGUCAAAGGGGUUGACCCUUGUUACUACUUCGUUUGAUGGCUAUCUCUACUUAAUUGAUGGAUCAACUGCUUGCACAGAUGUUGUUGACAUUGGAGAGACCUCGUAUGUGGUUACUUCUCUCUCAACUUUCAUAUGAUCUAAGGGUUUGUUUUGCCCAGCUGGUGCUAUUGCUCAUGUAGAACUGUUCAAAUGAGCGCUAAUAUCCUUUUUCAUUUAAAAUCUCGAAACAGCUCACCAUAGCAGAAGUGGAAGCUUCAGUUCGGUGCCUAGAAAUUUAUUUGUCUCUAGUUGUAUAGUUGAUUUCUGAGUUUUGGAGUAGAGAAGCUCCUCAUCAAGCAUGCCUAAGAAAGCGUUACCAUAAAGAGUUGUGUGUGUGUGUGUGUGUGUGUGUGUGUGUGUGUGUGUAUUUGUGCUGAUGAUGCCUCUCGUGAUUAACAGAUACAGCAUGGUCUUGGCCGAUAAUGUUGAUGGUGGAGACGACCUCGAUCUUAUUGUUACUACAAUGAAUGGCAACGUUUUUUGCUUCUCCACUCCCUCGCCACACCAUCCACUUAAGGUUGGCUUGUCUUUAUUUUAAGGGUUUCUUGCUAAAAAUUUGAACUUGAGUUCAAUUAAUCCACAAUUUAGUCUUGAAAAUUAUUAUGCAUAACAGUUAAUUCCUUAUGUUAGUCUACUACCUUGAAAAAAGGCGCCAUGCCGACAACAUCAUUAGGCUUCAGUUUAUUAUCAUUGAAACUGAGGAGAAAACUGAAAUUUGGAUCAUAGUUCAUGAACUAGGUUGUUAAUAUUGAGAUCCUGAGGAUAAAAUUGAAAUCAAAUCAAACUUAAAAGCUAAAUUGUUACAGUUGGAACUCAGAAAAAACUUGACAGCCUGGUUAAACCUCCAGUACUUAAUUAGCCUUCUUUCAAUCAGCUUUCCUCGGUUUAGUACAGUUAGUGCUCUUUAAGUUCCAGACUUCCAGUCCCUGUUUAGGUCAUUAAAUUUCCUUCUUCCUUUCUGCCACUAGAAAGUUGUCUUGACUUGUCUAUGGGAACUAACAUACUGUAUUGUGAGGUUUUAUCACUUUGUUAUUUCGUUGUAGGAGUGGAGGUCGCCAUACCAAGGGAGGAACAAUGUAGCAUACCGACACAACCGUGAAGGGAUUUAUGUCACACACGGAUCAAGGAUGUUCCGAGAUGAGGAAGGGAAACAAUUCUGGGUGGAGAUUGAGAUUGUGGACAAGUACAGGGUGCCUUCAGGGUCUCAAGGACCAUAUAAUGUCACUGUAAGCCUAAUCUCUAUACCUUUGAUGAUUUCAUUUUUAGCAAGUGUUUAAAUUGGCAGAUUUGAACUUCAGACGUAUCUCAAAACCUCCGAUAUGUGGGAGGGCUUGCCUUAUUGUUCAUUUUAUCAUUUGGAUGGUUGUAAUAUUUACUAUUUACACUAUUCAUUUUUUUUUCCCUUUAAUUCAGACAACUUUACUGGUCCCUGGGAAUUACCAAGGAGAGAGGCGAAUCGUGGUGAACCGGGUCUACGACCAACCCGGAAGGCAACGGAUCAAGCUCCCAACCGUUCCAGUUAGAACAACAGGAACUGUUUUAGUAGAGAUGGUGGAUAAGAAUGGAUUAUAUUUCUCUGAUGAGUUCUCACUUACAUUCCACAUGCAUUACUAUAAGCUACUUAAGUGGCUCGUUGUAUUGCCGAUGGCUGGUAUGUUUGCCGUUCUCGUCCUCCUGCGCCCGCAUGAAGGUGCUCCUUUGCCCUCGUUUUCAAGGAAUAUAGAUUAAUGCAUCAGUGUAGAAUUUUCAAAUUAUAUGAGAGAAGUUUCAGAAAUUUUUCUUUCCUUUUAUAUUCUUCUCAUGAUACAAUGAUCAACACUUUUUUUUUCACUUAAUUACAAGGUCGAGGGUGCAAAUCUCUCUCUCUCUCUCUCUCUCUCUCUCUCUCUCUCUAAUGGAUUGUGAUUGACACGAUGAGAAAAUUGCUUAUCUGUUGUCGCUUUAAUUAUGAUUGUAAGUGGAAAAAUGCAAGAGUAUUAUCUUUUCGAGGGUCGCAACGUAAUAAAUAUUACAUAGAUGCUUUUGAUAAAACAGGUAAAUCUUGGAGAUGUAUGGAUCUAUCUGGUGGGUUUGGUUACACAAAGAACACGCAAUGGAUCAACUGCUAUUUCUUAAAAUUUAAUCCAUGAUUAGUAAGAGUCACUGAGGGAAAAGGAGAGGCUUAAAAUUUUAUUUUGAGCAUGGUGCCCCAUAGUUGACACAAAAUUGAGGAAAACAAAUACACUGGAUGGAAACAACAUUACUAUUGAUGUAAGCAACUGGGUCGAGAAUUUUUUUUAUUUUUUAUUUUUUUUUUUUUUUGAGAGAGAUGAGUAGCAUGCUAUCCGCUUCGUUUAUUUCAUUUAGAAAUAAACUUAGCUAGAAAUGUGAAUCAACUAUAAUUUGAACUUGGGUCUCGGGUACCAACCACCAAAUCCUUUGCCACCUGUUCUAGGGACGGUCGAUGAGAAUUUUUAGUUAUAUAAUCAGCCAACCAAUGAUUCAUACAAAGACCACUUAUAAGAGAAAGGACGCAGUUGUUAUCAAAAGCAUAAGCAAAACCGUAGCCAAAUAGUCAUCCAAACUUUACUGGGGAUCACUGUUGCUGAAAGAAAAGGGCAAAAGUAUGAUUAAACAGGCAUUUGAAUUUUUUUUGAAAAAAAAAAUAGCAAAUUAUCUAUUUUAUUUAUAAAGUGAUAUGAAUUUGACAAUAUAGAUGAGACAACAAAGAUUUUGAGAAAGGAGGAAACAAAACGUCCAAAAAUAGAGAGAGUGGUAGAGGGGGAGAGGGAGGAAAGAAAGUGAAAGAGAGUUAAACUACAAGUGUAUAAUUAACGGUAAUAUUCUAAUCAAUCCUGCGCCAGUGCAUGUAUAUAUAUGACGAAGAAAUUAGGUCAGGUUUAAGCCUCGUUCUUUAAAAAUAACACUGUUUUUUUUAAUUAGAUUGUGCACCAUGCAGCUAAAAUUUUGAUGAACUUAGAAAUUUUUUUCUAAAUUUGCUUCUAUUGAUUUCGGAGGUGGCAGAGGAACGACUAGGAAUCGGAGAAGGGGACCCCAUCACCUACAGCCACCACAAAAUCACGCGUACACAGAUUAGAAGGAAAUAUUUUUUUUUUUCCUUUCCUUUUUUUUUUGCAAAUAAAUAUAUAUAGAGGUCUCGUGCCUUAGUUGUACGGUCCAGUACACCAGGUCUAACGAACUCGUCUCCACCCGUAAAAUUGUUGCUUUAAGUGUUCACUUGACUCGACCCGAACCCGAAUCGGAAACACGGGUCCGUUCCAGUGCCCUCUUCGCUCCUCUCUCAAACCCCCGGCGGCGGCGGCGUCGUUUCUCACUAGAAGUCGGGGCUCUCUCCGGUGUCGCCGCCGACUUCUUCUUAAGGUACGUACUCCGCCCCUCGAUCUCCUCUCCCUUUCGAGCUCCUCUCUCUCUCUCUCUCUCAACUGGGGAUCAAAUAAAAGAUACCCAUUUUGGGGUUAUUGUAGAUUUGGGAGCUGGUUAUUUUAUUUUUUUUUUUAGAUAUAUAGGUUUUAAUAUUGAUUGGUGGUUAGUUUAGGGAUGAGAGGGUUUUUUUUUUUUUUUUUUUUUUUUUUUUUGUGCAUACAUGUUGCUCGAUGAAAUGUACCAGUGAGACUUGUAUGUAGAAUUGUUUGUUAAAUGUGAGUUUAUCAGACUAUUAAAUGUUGUAGAUGUGAUGUUUGUGAGCAAAAUGAGAUGAUUGAGCUCGAAUAAUCACAAAAGGCCUCCUUGAAAUGGCUCGGAAACUUCAGAGGAGAAACGCACUGUUUAUGUUGCUCAUUCCAAUUAAUAUGCGUUGUUGUUUGCACGCGAAUCGUUGGUUCUGAUUUUUGUCCUGUUAAAUAAUUUAAACUUGGACUCUGUAAUCUGAUCUGACUCCAGUGAUUCUCAUUUUCAUUUUAUGACUGAUGAAUUUAAUAUUUUCUAGCUAACAUAUUGUCAAGUAGCUGCAUCGAUGACCGAAAAGUUGCUAUAUCGUGUUCAUUUCAGUUACAAAUUUCUUGUUUGUCGUCGAGUAAUCACUUUCUUGGACUAUGAUUUGCCGCCUCAGUUUAUGAUCGAACUUGUUUAUGAUUUUGUUCAUUAAUUACAGAGGCCGUUGAGAACCAUGCAAUCAUUUUUGCGGAGGACCUUCUCCCGAGCUGGGGGUUUAGGAUCUUGUUCAAAGAUUGGGCAUUUGAUAUCUUCUGAAGUCCGCUUGGUGAAUGGUAAUCUAGGAUUGCACAAUGGGACUGCUUUUUCUUCUAUAAUUGGAAAGGAAACAGCUAAAAGUUUUAGCUCCGUCCCAGCUUAUGAAUGCUACUCAAAAGAUCUUUCUUUGAUACAGAACCUCAAAUGCUACCACCGAAAUUCUCUUAUAAUGGUAUCGUCUUUUCUCCUUUUCUUCUUCCUCUGCCCCAAAUUAUGUGCAGUAACUGAAAACAUAUAAACAUGUGAAAAUGCAUAGAACUGCAUAUUUUCCUUUAGGAAAUUGUUAUUUAGAAAAUCUUCAGUUGGCAUGCAUUAAUUUCUAAAGGACAUUCUGAAUGUCCUCGUAUGGGUACGAAUGUUUCUAGAUUCAACCAGAACUUAUAUAGGGCUAUGUUUGUUUAAAGUAUUCCAUCUAAGCCCUUGUCAUCUCUCAUCUUCUAUUCAACACCAUUUGUGUUAUGUUUUUGGAAGUGUUGAAUUUCAAUUUUGGCAUGAUCUAUAAACGUAUAUUCCUGAUGUUCUAUAAACAAUAAUACUUUGAUGUUGCCAGUGAAAUAUUAGUACUAUUGUAAACAUUGAAUAUCAGUUACCUAAUAUUUUUCUUUUUUCAUUUCAGGAAAGUAGACUACUCAGCUGCAGGGAUUUGACUGUUCCUCAUUGUGGAAUGUUCCCAUCUUCGUAUUCAUGGAAUCAGCCGUCAUUUAGGUGCAUGACAACGAUGAAUAAUCCUGAGGUGUCUUUGGAAAAUGAAAAUUCUGCUUCAUCCCCUGCUGUAGAGCGUCCCCCUCGCAUCAAAUUUAAAAGACUUGACAAAACAGCAAAGCACAUCAUGAAUGUAAGUAAAUGUAAUCUGUGGUGAUUUAGACCAUUUUGACAAAGAAAUAUACUUAUCUUUCAAUUUUACAACUUUGAUCCCUUUUUUUUUUCGGUUUUUGCAACUUUGAGCCAAAUUAAUUUUUUAUGGACCAAAAUUUCUCUUGCUGAAAUCUGUGAGUUAUAUAUUUAUCACAAGGAUUGCUAGGGUUAUUUCUGUCCAUAAAGGAAUGUUCGAUCCAAAAUUAUAAAAACAAAAAAAGUGGAUAAAAGCUGGAAAAUUCACAAAAGAAAGCCCGAUGGAUGAUCUCUGCAAAAGCCCCACAAAUUUGAGCUAUUGUAUGAUCUCAUGGAUUGGACUGUGCUCUUUCGUCCUUAUCAGAUUUUGAUAUUUUCAGAUUUUGGAUAAAGAAGCAGUUGAGAAAGUACAUGCUGAACGAGAAAUUGCUGAUAUCAGGCCAGGGUGUAUCGUCCAGUUGAAAGUGGUAUGUCAUUUUGAGUGUUGGUUCUUUUUCGUUGUUGUUCUCUUCUAAUCUGUUAUUUUAACAGGUAGUGCCUGAGAACAAGCGUCGCGUCUCCACCUUAAAAGGCAUUGUGAUAGCAAGGCGCAAUGCUGGCUUGAAUACUACUUUCAGAUUGCGUAGGCUGGUUGCUGGUGUUGGCGUUGAGUCUGUAUUUCCUUUGUAGGUUUCUCUUUACUCUUACACUUUACUUCUCUCUUGCUCAGGAGUUAUAUUACAAGCACUUUAAGCGAACUUCCACGUAAGGCCUGCAGAAAAAAGAACCCAAUGUAAAGCCAAGAUGCGAUGAUUAAAGUAUCUGAGGAGUUGGGAUUCAAUUCUAGCUGUAAUGUUGUGCUACUCGUUAGAUAUGAUAGUUGAAGUACUGGAACUAGGGAACUGCAAGAGUAGAGGAAGACAGUUGAUUGUGGUGUGAGAAAAGAUUACACAACUUUAUGGGUUGCUUGUCAUCUUAACCUUUCCUUUUUUAUUUAUUUGUUUUUGGUGAGGCUUCUCAUUCUUUACACAUGCAAUUCUCUCUUCCUAAAAUUUAAAAAAUUAUGAUUUGGUGAUAUUUGCAGGUAUUCGCCAAACAUUAUGGAGAUGAAGGUCUUGGACAGGAAGAAGGUGAGAAGGGCAAAGCUUUAUUACCUCAGGGACAGGAUGAAUGCUCUCAAGAAGUGAAGAGAGAUAAAUACCAAGCCAUGUGUGUUGCACCAGUUAUUUUUCACUUGGCUAUAUCCCAGAGGUCCUCUCAACUUCAUGUUUUCGCGUUACAGUGAAGCUGCCCCUUAAAACUGUGUUGCUUUUGCGUGGACCGGGCGAUUUGUUUUGUUGUUGUUUUUUUUUUCCCUUUUCUCUUUUGGGUGGUUAGAAUUGGAUAUAACAACAGAUGCAGUGGAUCUCUAAGCUCUGAGUUCAAAAUUAUACUGUAAUAAGGCCUUGCAUUCUGUUUUCUUGCUUUCCAACAAUGUUUCCAGUGAUAACCUAGAAUGACCUGGUGACAUUAAUUUUUUCUGGCAAAAAAGAUACGAGAAUAUGUUAGGCUCAAACGUUGAAGCUGAUUUAGCCCUUCUGGUGUAGCACUUGAUAAUAUUAAUGAUAAAAUGAUUUUGUUGUUACUUAAUAAAGAGUUGAAAGUGUACAAGCAAAAUGCAUCUGCAAAUCUUGCAAUGUCUUUGUCUAGUGGAGAAAAAAUAAGUUAUCAUAUUCCCACUUCAACAAAAAGUGAAAUUGAUCUACGAAUUUGAUUCAGCAACUCGGGCAUCUUCAUACAGGAAUAAACACAAACAUCAGCAAGCUAUAAAUCAUCCACACUUCAACGAAAAUUGAUCUACAAAUUUGAUUCAACAACUCUGACAUCAUUGUAAAAAUAGACACACAAACAUCAACAAGAUCUACAAAUUUGAUUCGACAACUCUGACAUCUUCGUAAAAAUAGACACAAACAUCAACGAGCUAUAUGCCAUUCUAAUUAUUCACACCCUUCUGUUGUACUUACAAAUACUAUCAUUUCUAAUUCUAACCAACCAUGCAACUACAUAAGUGUAGUAGUGUAACUUUCACCAUUUUUGCUUGGGACUCUUCACUGUGUUCUCCUCCCUCUUUUCCGAAGAAACAUCUUUUACAGAGCUCACGGCGUCGUUGGAAGAAGCUGCGGUUGGCGUCAGCAGUGGCUGUUGCUGUUGCUGUUGCUGUUGCUGUUGUGAGUGCUGGUCGUAAUCCCUUCGGAUGGUCCAGAGCACCUCGGCGCAUUCCUUCAUCGACGGGCGCGAUUCCCUGGACGAUUCGAGGCACUUCACUGCCAGCCCCAUCAUGCUCUCCACCGCUGCGACGGCUGCGCGCCCGCGCUUCAGCCUCGGAUCCAUCGUCAUCCCCACAUCUCCCGCCAAAUACUUGCGUAUCGCCUGCAUGUUUUAAGCCAGCCAAGUCAAUUACUUGAACACUUAAUGCUUCCCUUCUUCUAAAUUUUUUUUUAUCAGUGGUCGUAUUACAGCAUUUGGUUGGGAAACAGAGUGCAAAUGGUAUUAGAUAUAUUGUCUGUCCCACAAAAUUAACGCAGUAGGAUGUGCAAUGACUUGCACUUUCCUAGGGAGAAAGUUAUCCUGUGCCAAAUCAAAGCAUGAACCCACGGUUUCACAAUUUUGUUGAAAUUGUUUCAGCUUGUUUGGCUUUGAGGGCUACUUUUAUGUUUAAUGGCUAAAUUGGCUAAAAUAAUCUGAAGUUCUAUUAUAUGGGGGAAAAAUAAAGAUUCUGAAUCUUAGAAAAAUAAGUUCUUGUCUGAAACUUCUGACUACUGUAAAAAGAAGUUACAUGGAUAGAAAAAUACUAUCUUAAAAUCUCGUGCACAAACAACUCCAGAUGGCUAGAAUGCAUCCAGCAAACUGACGAAUCACUCGCCUGUAGUUGUACCCAACAUGCUCUGUCAACAUUGUUGUGUGCUCUUCUAGUAACACUACUAAGUAGAAUCCAACAUGACUUAUUCUGCAGAGUCUCUGGUUUCGGAAUCCAUACAUGCUAGUUCCGAAAUCUGACGCUCGAGAACAGGAGGAUUCAAGUGCCAUGUUUCGAAAUCCAAUUCUCUGGUUUUGGAAUACCAAACACUAGUGUGAAAUUUCGAAACAUAAUACGACGAUCCAUCGAUCAACAACACUCCGCAAUGGUAAAUUUAGGGUUCUGGGGCGAGUGAGAGUCGUACCCAUCGGGUGGUGACGCGCUCUUUGACGCCGCGGCCGCGCUCGAUGGGGCGGCGCCCGGAGACGAGCUCGACGAGGAGGACGCCGAAGGAGUACACGUCGCUCUUCGGGGUGAGCUGGUACGUGCGGAGGUACUCCGGGUCCACGUACCCCGCCGUCCCCUUCACCUGCGUCGACACGUGCGUCCGCUCCGCCUCCCCCGCCCCCACCACCCGUGCGAACCCCAAGUCCCCCACUUUCCCCUGCAGCGCUUCCGUCAGCAGCACGUUCGACGCUUUCACGUCCCGGUGAAUGAUCGGAUCAUCUUCGCACGCACCACCAACAUUACGCACACACAUUAAUGUUCUACUUUAGAUUAGAUUAGAUUAGAUUAUAUUAGAUUAGAUGCAAAAGCACUUUACAAUAAAAAAAAAAAAAAUUACUUUUUAAGCAGAUUGAUAAGUCGAAUAAUAUUAACGUACCUGCAUAUCCAUGCAGGUAGGUGAUUGCAUGAGCCACAUCAAUUGCUAUGUUUAGCCUCUGUCCAAGAUCUAAACCAUUUCCGCGAGUUCCUGCGUUGGCAUGCACAUAACUUCAAUAAUAUUCCAUUGUUAACUAGUUAUUAUACCAUCUUUUGUUGUUGCCGCGGCCCAGCCGAUCCCCCGGCUUGAUUUAUUUACCAUCUAAGUGUUCUCGAAGAGUUCCGUUGCCGACGUACUCGACCACGAUUAAGCGCUCGCCCUCGUGCUCCACCCAUCCCAGAAACCUGACCAGGUUCAUAUGCUGCACCUUCGAAAGUGCUUCGAUUUCGCUCUUGAAUUCCGUCGAUAGGUGCUUGCCAUACAUGUUCUGCCGACGAAAAGAAUUUACUUAGUAUGUAGUCAGGUUCAAUCCUGUGAAUUCAUUCCCUAAAUCUUCAUAUAUGCAUGAAAUUCUAGAUUUUGCGCGGAUUUAGUUGAAAAUUUGGUAAUAUUUUAGAGUGCCAUAUGCUUCAUGAUCUGACCUUUGCGGCACGCUUUACAGCAAUCAGAGACCCAUCCUGAAGCUUCCCCUUGUAGAUGGUGCCGAAGCCCCCUUCCCCUAUUUGGUUCCGAGGAUUGAAGUUUUCAGUAGCCUUGUAUAUUUCUGCAAUGGAAAACUUUGUGGUAAACUCUUUUUGCUCUUCGAUUAAACUGCUAGAACCUCUCGUCUUGAUAUUAUAGCUGCUGCUGAUGCCUCUGAUACCCAGUUUUGAUAUCUUCGAACCUGUAGGACAUCAAAAUAUAGCAUAAUUUAGAGACAGGGUCAUGUAGAGAAACAAUUAGUUAGCGGUACACUUAUAAAAAAGAAAAGAGGCAAAUUUUCUAUUGGCUUUGAAACAAACGAAACAAAGGAUGAACAAGGAAGAUGGACUUACUACUCGAAGAUGUGGAAAUAAAGGAGUCGUCGAUUCGGUUGUCCCGAUCGGCCACUUCGCCGGUUCUAAUUUUGGGGACGAAACAAGUCGUGAACGCGCCUGCUACUUUCUGGGCUGCGAUACUGAAUGAUUUGGUCCUUCUGCGGUGGAACUUGCUGUCACCGGACUCCGUGGAUCUCGCAGUGUAGGUGGAUGUACAGGAGAUAUCUGGAUCCCAUGGAAAUCCCGGGCUGGUUCCGGACGUUUGACUACUCGGGCGGGAAUUGAGCUGCGGGUUGCUGGAUAUCUGCAUAAGGGAAGCUGGAUCUUCAAGCAGAAUUUGAUAUCUUCAUUCGGCAAAUGCUGGUAUACUUUGGUUUUUGUCUGUUACUCUUGAUACAAAUAUGCAGAACACAGUUUUUAAGAGUUGGGAAGACCAGUUCAAGGCUCGGAAAUUCCACCUUGAUGUGGGAUGGUGCCCAAGUGAAUGAUAUAAGGAUUGAUUGUAACACUACUACCUAAACUUUGACAAAUUUUAGCUCAGGCCUCUAAUUUUUCAUUUAAACAGCUUAGCUCCUGAGCCUCAAACAUCUGCCAGUGUAUUGUGCAUCUGGCACAGCAAAUGACAGAUAUUUUGAUAAUAUAUAUGCUUUUCUUACUUUCUUAUACAUGAAAUGUAUACAUUAAAUAUAUUACCAUUUGUUUGUCAUAGUUUUUAAUUGAUUCGGUUGCUAUACAGGAACCCCAGUCACGCAAUUCGAUCGUAACCUGCUGGAAUAAAAUCAAUAGGAAAUAAACUGUUAAGCGAAGCGUUUUCUGGGUCAACAUAUUGUUAUUCAUUGGUGAAACAUGUAAUUACCUGCUCACUCAUCAACGAGUUGAAUGAUUCAUGGGGUAUCUAAGAGAAAUGAUUUGGUACUUUAAAAAAAUAAAAAUAAAAAAGAUCUUAACCGUGAUUAAUAGAGGGUAAAAAUGUAACUUUAAUACUUAGCAGGUAAAAGAAUUAUUUUAAUCAAGGUUAGUUUGGUAAUUAAAUAAUACAAUAUUUAAAGAAACUUUUAAUUGAGGACCUAAAUUUAUGCAUUAAUUAGCACUAAUUUAAGAAAUUAAUUGAUUAACCAAAUUUAUGCAAUUAUUAGGCAUUAAUUUAGGAAUCUAUUUUAAAUGUUUUAGUGUUUCUCAAAUUAUGCAUUAAUUUAAAUUAUAGAAAUUUUAGAAAUAGUUUUAUUUCUAAAUACAAUGAAUUUAAAUUUUAAAAAUUAAAUAUUUAAAAUUUAAAAGUGUAAUUAAAAUUAAAGGAAUUUCAUAUUACUAUUUAAAAACUAAAUUUCUACCAAGAUUUAAAAUACAGUUUAUUCGCACCAGUUUAAAACGUAAUGCAUAAAAAACUUAGAGAGUAAGAUUUCUACAACUAGAUUUCUCUAGAGGAAUUUCAUAUUACUAUUUAAAUUUUAAAUUCAAUGAUUUAAAAACUAGAUUGAACCAAUUGAUUUGACUGAUCAGACUUUGACCUAUUCUAUCAAGAAUCUGAUUUUAACCUAUUGAACCGAAUAACAUUAAAAAUAAUUUGGAACCGGUAAAAAUAAUAAAUAUUUUAAACUGAAUGAUAAUUUAACUGUUAGAGCUAAUAAAUAUUUUAAAUAUAAUUUUAAACAUAUAAAUUAAAAAGAUUAGAAUUAUUGGUGAGAAAAAAAAUAGUUAGGAAUUUAAAUUUGAAUCUGACUAACAAUCACAAAACUUAUUUUCGAACUCGACGGAUUUCAAAAAUCAAUAUCCAAAUUCAAAAUUGACCAAUUUUCCGAAACUCAAAACCAAACCUAAACUAGAAGACUAGAAUUCAAACAAUUAUUUCUGUUUACCAUAUUUCAAAGUAUUUAUAUGAAACUUAAAAUUUUAAAAUAUAAAUUUGAAUAUAAUAUUAAAUUUUAAAUUUAAAAAUAAAAUUUAAAUUAGAGGAAUUUCAUAUUACUAUUUAAAGUUUAAAUUCAAUGAUCAUCUUGUCAAAUCAUUUGAAAAUUUUCUUAUAUGAAAUGCCAACUUAUGAAAGGAAAGAUAGAGAGAGAAAAAGGAAACAAAGAAAAAAUAAAAAUUUUGAAAAUAUAGUAGAUGUAAAAUGACUAAAUUGCUCAUGUAUUAAAAGACAAAAAUAUCCUUUUAUGAGGUACCUGAUAAUCGGUACCUCUUCCAAAGUGACCUGCUAUUGCAGGUCAUAAUUUUAAAAAAACUAAAUCUGAGCCGUUGAAUAUGCGUGAAUGAACGGUAACAAAAAAAAAAAAGUAUAGAAGCAUUACUCUUAAUCUAAACAAGAAUGCCUCAAGAUUCUAGUUCCUACCCAGAUUAUUUAUAUUUUACAUUAGUUCUUUAAUUCAGGUUGACAUUAUGCUUAUUGCUCGAACAAAAAAAUUAGAACCAAUUGUUUAACACCACGAUAAUGAUAUAUAGUUUUGUUUAUUUCAAUGAACAAGCAACUAUAUAUAUAUGAAUUUGGAGAACCAGUCAAUAUCUCUCGAUCCCAUAUCUUUUGUAGAAUAUUUUGAUCAGUUAAUAUAAAUUGACACUAAUUUUCAUUCAUAGACAAAUGUUACAGUUCUUUCUUAAUAUGCCUUACAUGACCUUUUGUUGAAAGAUUUGUUUGAUUUUUCUUUUUUCCCCCUAUGGACCUAAAUAAUCUAAUUGGAGGCAUUAUUUAUGUUUCUUUUGAUGCAGUGAUGCGCCAAUUAACUGAUUGGUUGGCUGGAGAACGAGUGAGCACAUCAGAAAAGCUGAAUCUAAUCAAUCCAAGAAGUUAAAAAAUGCAUGCAUAAUCACUUGCUUGAGUGUUUACUUGUUUUAGGGGCUUGAAUAUUGGUAUUUUUGGCUAAUGAUCGAGUCGUUUCAAUCAGUUCGACUACAUCGCCUCUUUAUUGGUGUUUACCAUUCAAGUUAAAAACCAUUAUGACAACGCAAUAAUAAUAAAUGCUGUGAUACUGAAUCCAUUCAAAGAAUGCAUCUAAACUCCCCAUUAUACACGCGAGCACAGAGGUUAAACCUACCUAUCAUUCGUCCACCACUCCGUCACCACCCCACACCCAAUCCACCAAUGCAUAACUCACCAAAUGGCAACAACGAAUGCAACAUGUCAACUAAUAUUAGAUCUACACAGUAAACCAUCACUUAAGAAGGAUCAUUAUAAAGAAAGAGAUUUCCCUGAUAAGUCCUUAUAUUAAUCCUCGUACAACGAUCUUAUUAUUGGUCAAUCAAGAUUACUACUGAUUACUACAUAGGUUAAGACGAGAACGAGAGCAACACAACAACACGGAACAAGUGCGUGCAUGGGUACGUAACUAGCUAGGGAGCGGCGGCGGGGUCGGAGGCAUGGGCCUGGCGCUCAGAGAGGCCGCUGCCGGAUAGCGUAGGUGCGUCGGUGCCCCCACCGCUGACUUGGUCGACGGUGGGGAGGUGGCCGUGGGCGCCGUAGCCGCGCAUUUUGUAAUCCUCCACGUCCUUAUACCCAACGUAGGGACUACUCUCCAAUGGUAACUUCACAUCCUGCUGCUGCUGCUGCGGUUGCUGCUGCUGCUGCUGCUGCUGUUCUCGUCUCUCUACUGUUGCUUCCAUUUUGGACCAGAAACUUACGUUUCUUAAUAACUAUGUAUACAUACAUACACUACGUAGUGUGGUGGAGAGAGGAUAGAGGUUUGGAUUUUAUUAAACUCUUCUGUGGCUCAGCGUGGAUGUCCACGUGGUGCGUGGAGAGCGGGCCUGCUUCCACGCGGCGCAUGCAGCGAAAUGGGCUCUCAGAUGUUACAUAGCUCUGACCACAUCUUAAGAAAAAAGAUAAGGUUCAAACAAAAGAAUAGAUCAUGUCCGUCCAUGUCUCGGUUAGUGCAUCGGACCGGUUAGCAAAUAGCGAUAUCCAUCACCAAUCUUACCUUUUGGACCUUUAUGUAUUCUAUUUUAUUUUAUUAUGAAAAGAUGUAGAAAAUUACUAACCAACCUGAAUCGACCCAAUUCUCAGAACUACAACAUAUCAAAGUCAUGGAGGGCAUUUUGCGUAGUGCUGUGCUCUAUAAGAAGAUGCAUGUAGUGAAAAUAAUCUUAAUAAUCCAAUUAUGUUCAAAGCAUAAGCCCUGGAUUUUACUUUUUUCCGAUGCAAAGUUUUACAUCCAUCAUACAACAAAGCAUUCAGCCCCACCCAGGCAUUAAAAAACUCAUAAUGUGAUAACAACAAUUAUUUAGUAAUUAAAGAUGUACAGUAAUACAACAAGAACCAGUAAAGUGCAAUGCUAAAUUAUUGGGAUUUUUCAUUCAUUUUCCCCAUACAUUUUCAGCCCGAAUCCAAUCGGAAAUAAGGGAUCGUAUGAAUCGUGUGAAGCAUUUAGAGGCAAUUGAUUGAUUGAUCUAAACCAUGACACAGGUAAAACACCCUCAAAAUCAUAGUCUCCAAAUAUAACAUCAGCAACUCCCCGUCCCUCGCUUCCCGGUAGCCAUGCCGCGACCAAGGCGUCUAUCUUCUCAAGCAGUUCCGGCUCAAAAACUAAUGGCCUUCCAGAUAUCACAAUUACUAAAGUCGGAAUAUUAGAAGCUACAAGAGAGAUCAUAUCUGCGCCGUCAAAAGGAAUGCUAAGAUCUGUUCUAUCACCCAAGAAUUCGGCAUAAGCAACCUCCCCGACAACAACUAUUGCACAUGAGUACUCUUUUCCUAAGAAAGUGGCGGCCGAUGGGCUUUCCUCAAAUAUCACUUCAGUUUCCUCUUCUAUGGACUCUUUAAUAGCCUCCAAUAUACUUGUCCCUGCAAAUAUACAUGCGUAAAAAUGUAUGGAUGGCCAAUCUACUUCUCCAAUAUUGAAAAUUAGCAGCUCUACUAUCCACAUAAACAUCUUAAUAUCUUAUUCUACGAACUCUUUCGCAUUUUGCAGUUGCAUCCCUGAAUCCUUUUGCCGUCUAAUCACUCGAGUCACAUUCUCUGGAAAUGAACCCUUCUUCAUAAUAAAUGACUAAUUUAGCUCUUCUUUAUUAAACAUCUCCUUCUACUUUAUUUUAAACAGGCGUAAAUAGGUCAUUUAGUAUGGAUUAAACAAAACCAGGAUUAGACAGAGAGCCAGACAGCCAGGGAUGAGAAAUGCAAAAAGUAUAAAAUUUCAGGAAAUGAAAUGUCUCAGUGAAAAGUUUAGGAUUAUGUUGCAAAUGGCAAGAGUAAGUGCAUUUUACCCUAUCUACCAUAAAACUUGUCUACUUAAAAAGAGAAUAUUACAAGCAUAAUCUGAUCCUUACAUUUUUAUAAAAUGAGAGACUAUUGUAAGAGGCGAAAAUAUCCUUGAUUGAUAGCAAUUAUGAAGUACAAUGAUCAUAUAGGAAAACACCAUACCAAUUGUUAUCCUCCCGCUGGUUCCAUACCAAGUUAUUGUCCAUCCCCCACACUGAUAUCCAAUGUCAUCAGCAUGUCUCCCAGCAACAAGUAUUCUUUUAGCAUUUUUCUUUAAAGGAAGAAAUGGUCUUUUUGGCUCUUUUCCAUUUUUUAGAAGGACCAAGGAUUUUCGAACAGCCUCUUGUGCCAACAGUCGAUGCUCCUGGAAAGUAUUUUGAUAUCAUAGAACAGAAAUAAACUUAGCAUGUAUAUGGGCAAAAUGGACGAAAUAACUUUAUAACGCCUUUAAGAACAUUCAAACUGCAUGCAGUUGCUGAAGUAAUCCACUUCCAAACUAACCAAAAACUUAAUACAAUUUGCACAAAUAAUAGUACUCCAAAUUAUGAAGCUACUAUCUAACCAAUCUCAAUUUCGAAACAUCAAGAAAUCAGUGAUAAAAUGAGUCACGUGUAAUUAGUCAAACUGUAAAACUGUGGUCUUUGUGGAAUCACAUUAAACUGUUACAGUAGAAAAGGGUUGAGGUUUCAGCCUAUGAAUGAUGGCCCAACUAUCUGCCAGUUAAAAAGUAGCAGUUCAAAAGUAAUGCUUCCUUGCUUUGCCUUUCAACAGGAAUGUAGAAGGGUGUUAUCAGAUGAAAAUGAACUAGAAAUGUUUCCCUUUCACAGUCUAGUUGUCUUAGCUCUCAUAAUAAUGGCUAAUGGCUGUAUCACAAAAAUGAAUCUAAUGAAUACAGUCCGCAUGAACAGGGAGUGAAAUUCAAAUAGAAAUUAGAAAGCAUUCAUUCGAUCACAAUUUCCCCUUCCCAUAACAAUUUUAAUGUAUCAGUAAGCAAUCUUUAAACUAUUUGACACUCCUUGUAGUACAUUAUCCUUUUGUGCAAUACAAGUAAACCACUCAUUUACAUAUUGAAUCAAGGGUAAGGUCAAACAAGCAACAGAUACCUACUAGUAAGCAGUAUUGGAAUUGUAUUCUCUAAUCAAAAGCUCUCACCUUGCAUCCCACUACACUGAGCAAAGAACGAUCAGAGAAAGGCUGCUCAAAGAGUCCAGAGACAAACUUCACCCUCAGGAUCCGCUCCACAGCAUCAUCGAUCCUCGACAUGGGUAUCUCCCCCGACUCCACCAGAAAAACCAAAUCUUCUAGAAACUUGCCGUAUCUGUGAGGCACCAUUAUCUGUACAUUUCUCAGGUACUAUUUUUAGUUACCAAUAGUUGAGGAGGUGUACUUUACAUAUAUGAUCAGUCACUACCAUGUCGAUUCCAGCAUUAAUUGAUGCAGAAAUGCAAUAACGAUAGUUCGAUCCUUGAGGGUGGCAGAGCCUAUCAAUGCCUUCCCAAUCUGAUACGACAAAACCCUGUAAUACAUGCAAGAAAGUAAGUGAAUCACGCCAUCUAACCAUUGAUAUCUACAAUGCACCCAGAUCAUAUUUAGAAUUGCUAGUUUCUGAUCAUAAAAGAACAGUAAAAAUGCAUAGAUACCUCCUCAACUACAUGACCUGGAACUUUAUUUAUUUAUUUAUUGUUUCAGACACACACCACUAAACUUUCGUUUCUUAUAAUUUAAGGAGAUUCUGUAAAACUCAAUAACCCUGUUAGUUGUCAGCUGUUAACUAUUUACGGAAUCUGCAGUUCCAUCCACUGAAAAGCAGGCAUAGCCAUUAAUUCAAUUAAAUUCCAUUAAACAUAGCAAAAUCUCUAAUUCAACUGACAAAAGUAACUCAAAUAAAAAGAAGGAAAAGUUAAGUUUGUCAAUAGAGCAGAAAUGAGAGGUACCCUAAUGUAGAAUGGCCCAAAGUUAAGAUCUACGUACAUUUUCACCUUGAAGAACAAAUAAGAAAAGAAUUAAGUUUUAGUUAGCUUUAGUACCUUGAAGCCCAGCUUGUCCUUCAGAAUAUCAGUUAUGAGGAAACGAUUAGCAUGUAAUGGUUUCCCAUUCCAGCUAGUGUAUGAUGCCAUAACAGUACAAACCCCCUGGGCUAAGCAAUCAAAAUAAGGACUCAUAUGAAUCCUCUCCAACUCUUCAUAGCUGCAAAUGGUGUUGCCUUCAUUUUUUCCUUUGUGUGUGCCGCCAUCUCCCACAAAAUGCUUGGCACAUGCAAUCGCAUUCCUCCUGCAAUUAUUUUAGAAGCUCACUUCCAUAUUAUUUCUGAUCGCUCUUAAGAUAACAAAAGGGUUAAUCACAAAUUUUGUCCCUCAAGUUUUGACCUGGGUAGUGGGUAUCAUUUGCAAAUUGCAACAGUUGAGUCUCUGAAGUCUGACCCCAACUUUUUCAUCUUUCAAGUUUAUAUCUGAAGUUUGACCUCAACUUCUUUUUUGUUCCUCAAGUUUGAGCACAGUUUCAAUUUAUCCUCAGCAUUUCCGUUUGAAGAAAGAAAGACUAAUGAUGACGUUGACACGGCACAUUAGAUAAUAGACUCCAGAGAGGACUUAACUACUACGGAAAACAAAUGUCAAAAACUUAAUCAUUACAUAACUUAAUCAUUACAUAUCAAACCGUAAGGACAAACUGAAAUCCAGGUCAAACUUCAGGAACCAAAUAUGUAAUGAACGGCCAAGUAUAAAUGUAGAAAAAUGCCAAAUAGUCAGAGUGAGUUUUGGAACCCUUUUUGCAUCACUGUAAAUCAGUUGUUACGCUGCUUAUAACAACGCAAUUCUUGAGAGAGCUAUUACAAAGGGUAGUAUAAAGUCUAAAUUUGUAGGGCAAAAUUGUGUAC
rnacentral:lncRNA from 1 species